CUUAGACAUAUUCAAUUGUGGUUCAGGGUAAAAAAGCUACAGCUUUUCCUGCUAUGUGCAACAAGCUGUCAGAUCAGAGUGAAAUCGAAAACAGGGUUGUGGUUGAUGGCAACCUCAUCACCAGUAGAGGGCCAGGAACUUCUAUGGAGUUUGCACUGGCAAUUGUGGAGAAGUUUUUGGGCCGCAACAAGGCACUUGAGCUUGCAAAGAUAAUGCUUUUCACUCGCGCCUAACGUUUGUAUGGGGACCUGUCUACUAUUAAACUAGUGUGUUUAUUUCUGUAUUGCUACUGCUUGUAGAGAGGGGAAAUGGAAACUUGAAUUCAUGUUUGAAUAUGGAUUCACUGUGUGGGUUUGUACAGCAGUUUGGUUUAUAAAUAAAUGAGUUCAUGGAGUCACUUCAAAUAUUCGGAAUAAACCUGAGUUUAGAUCUGUUAUCAAUGGUCGGAGUCCAAUUGCGAUCGACUCACUGGGAAUUUUAAUUAUGAAUCAUGUUAUAUUCCACCUUUCUCAUAAAAUGUUAACUCGAUUUACAGGAUAAGAAGGAAAAGAAAGACGCUAAGAGAGGAGCAGACACCCAAAAAGAGUUGACCACUUUGUUGGAACAUAAAUCUCUAGAAUAUUGAAAUAAAACACAUACCAUAUCUAGUAUCAAGUAUGUAUGUGCAAGAAGAUACAAAUUUGAAGAUCAGAUUUCUCAUUUCAAUUUAUGUUCUGCUUAGAGCAAUGGCUCUUAUUCCACAAGCACAAGCAGGAAAGAGUACGCACGAAGUUAAGAAACACACAUUGCAAAAGUUGCAUUAACUACUUGCGGCAACAUCAUCCAAGAACUUGACUUUAAUCUUCUUGAGCUUCGCUGCAGCAUCUGUCAUAUGCAUUCUCUUGUCAGGUGACUCCAUACAACAAUCCAAUGCCAAAUCCAUGAUGCUUAAUAAACAAUCCAUUUUGGCAGAAAAAGCUUGCUCUUCUCGCACCAAAUUUGCGUCAACAACUUCACUCAAUCUGUGAGGUAAUGACUCCUUCACCCAUCUCCUUAAACUCAUUUCUUCUGUGAACAUUUGAUCGGUGGGCCUCUUUCUCGUGAAAGUUUCCAUCAAUAACACACCAUAGCUGUAGACAUCACAUUUGGCUGAAACAAUUCCUUCUAAUCCAUACUCUGCAUUUUUUAAUUUUAAUUAUGAAACAAAUGAUAAAACAAAUAAUUUUUUUGAUAAUUAAGGUAACCCAAACUUUGCUCGUGCUUGAAAAAAGAGCAAAAAUUUUAAUUACAAUUGAAACUUUACCUGGUGCCAUAUAACCAAUUGUAGCCAUUGUCAUGGUUUGUGUCACACAAUCUUCUCCUUCACCUAAGAGUUUGGAAAUGCCGAAGUCGCACACAUGUGCCAUCAUAUUUUCAUCCAAGAGAAUGUUGGUGGGCUUCAAAUCACAAUGAAUUAUAGGUGCCGACGAAUGACCAUGAUGGAGAUAUUCAAGAGCCGACCCCACAUCUAUCAUUAUAUUCAACCUCUCUAGAAUGUCUAAGAAAUAAUUGUAAGAAUACAACCACUUCUCGAGACUACCAUUUGGCAUGAACUCAAGUACCAAUGCUUUGAAAUCUGGAUUAGAACAACUGCUAAGGAUCUUUAUGAGAUUUCGAUGACGAACAUUCCGUAAAACUUCACAUUCAGAAUCAAAACUCCUAAAUGCUCUCUCUAGUUGCAGAUUGAAAAUCUUUAUUGCAACAUUAGUCCCGUCGGAAAUGGUUCCUUUAUAAACUGAUCCAAAACUACCUGUACCCAGCAAGUUACAUUCAUUAAAUUCAUCAGUUGCUCGUUGAAUGUCAAGGUAGGAUGUUCUUCUCCAUGUUGCAAGAGGUAGGAAAUCUUCGUGAUCUGAUUUUUUUGUACUCCUCUUUCGGCAUCUUAUGUACAUAAUGAUGAUAAUCACUAUAAGUACAGAGGAUACUAUCGGAGGCAAAAUAUAUUUAAGGACAAUUAGAGCAACGUUCUUGGUGCUUUUGCUGUCACCUUGUUUGCAAGGUGGGACUCGGAGUUUAGGUGGACCACAGAGUGCAUAAUUUCCGAAAAAUGAUUCAGUUGACAAGUUUUUAAAAGACCCCUUAACAGGAAUUUCCCCUUCUAGCCUAUUAUGAGACACAUUAAAUUGUUUGAGAUGUGACAAUAUCUCCAAUGACUUAGGAAUUUUUCCAGAGAGAUUGUUGCCGGAGAGAUCUAAGGAUUCUAAGCUUAUCAAACUGCCAACUGAUUCAGGAAUAGGUCCCUGAAAUUGAUUACGAGCCAAGGAUAGAGUUUCUAGAUCUAUGAGGGCACCAAUGGUUGAUGGAAUAUCACCUAAUAAUUGAUUCCUUGAUAAAUCUAAAACUGUCAAGACCUUUAACUUUUGUACAUUGGAAGGGAGAGGACCAUUUAAUGAAUUAGACGACAAGUUUAUCUCUAAGAUGUACUCAAGGCUCCACAAGGAUGACGGUAUACUAGAAGUGAGCUUGUUGGAGCCUAAGCGGAGUUCUCUUAGAGAUGUCAAACUCGCCAAGCAUGGCGGUAUAUGUCCAGAGAGCUUAUUUCCAUUUAACCUUAUUCCGUAUAUCAACUCCAAGUGGCAAAGAUCAUAGGGAAUGGAUCCUUCCAAAUUAUUUUCUUCAAGAGAUAAACCUUGUAGCCGCUUAAGUCUUCCCAUCGUUGGUGAAAUAGUUCCAUUCAAGUCAUUGAAGCCGAGGCUUAAGAGGAUCAGGCCACGCAACUUACCAAUUUCUUUAGGAAUGCUGCCCCCGAGUUUGCAGUUGGAUGCAUAAAAUUGUCGAAGAGAAGCAGAGAAAUUUCCAAUCACUGGUGGAAGGAUGCCACCCAAUGGAUUAUAAGCUAAGGCUAAAAAUGUUAAAUUUCUGCAAUUAGUCAGAGAAGAGAGAAAACUCCACUGAUCUGCUGAAGAUGAUUCUGUCGUCAAGUUAUUAAAUGCUAAGCUGAGCACGUCGAGGUGUCUCAAGUUGCCAAAUGUAUUUGGAAUAUGGCCCGAGAAUGAGUUGAAGCCCAAGUCUAGGGCAACGAGUUUAGUAGCAUUGGUGAUAGAGUGGGGAAUUAUCCCUAUAAGAUUAUUGGCCGACAAGGCUAAAUACUCUAUGUUCGGAAGCGAGUGGCCAAUCGUUGACGGUAAGCGGCCUGAGAGUUGAUUGCCCCCCAGAGUAAGGAUUCUCAUGGUUGAAAUGUUGAAGAUCGUGGGUGGAAUGAGGCCACUUAAAUUGUUGUCAGCAAAAACAAGAACCUCCAAAUUUUCCAGAUUGCCAAUCUCGGUUGGAAUUUGACCUGCCAUCAGGCCAACAUUGAGGAGUCAUUGAGCUUUUAGCUUAAGGUAAAUUGAGUUUGACAAUGUUACCCUUGAAAAUGUAAAAGGAUCAAAUUAAUUUUAUUACACAAUAAUUUCAGCCAAUAAUGUUCUUUACACAAUAAUUCUGCAAAAUAUGCAUGCAAAUGGAAAAAUAUGCUUCAAUUACAAGAGGUGGUGGAGCGUACCUCGAAGAUUGCUGAAGCUAAGAUCCAGAUACACGAGUUUACUCAAAUUUCCAAUCCUUGAAGGAAUAUUUCCACCAAUAGUAUUGAACUCUGCACGCAGCGUCUCUAGCCUUGAUAAGUUGAAGAGAGAAUUAGGGAUGGGACCUGUGAAACUGUUAUUAUAAAGUCUCAAUAUUCGGAGUUUAGAUAAGACACCAAUCCAUGAUGGAAAGCUUCCGCUCAAUUUAUUGUAAGCGAAACUCACGACUCUGAGUCGACGUAAUUGCCCCAAUUCUUUCGGCAGAUGGCCAUGAAAAUUGUUCUCACUAAUGUCAAGAGACACUAGAAAUGAGAGAUUUCCCAAGUGUAGUGGAAUGGUGCCUCCGAGACCCAUAUCUGAAAGAUUCAAGGCAGUGACUCGUUGAUGGCGUGAACCACAAGAGAUACCAACCCAGCUACAUAUUGGAUAAGAUAUAGACCAAUUAUUUGCCAGGGCACUCCGAUAAUCAAGAAUGUGGGCUUUGAAUGCCAGAAGAGCUGAUUGAUCUGUUGUUAAAUCGUUUAAAGUCGUCACAGCUAAGCUAGCAAUGAGAUACUGUAACACUAACACCGACAUAGGAACAAAGAAGAAUGAUAAGCGCAUAUUGGUCGUUUUUAGUAGUAGUUGCAAGGCGAGAUUGAUACAAGUUUUAAGUAAAGGAAAUUAGCAUAUACUUAUAAUGAGACAUAUGAAUUUGAAAAUAAGAGCAGAAAAAAUAUACAGGAGACUUGCAAAUUGUUAUAUUCUGUCAUUGAGCGAGCCGUCCAAGUAAACGCAUUUACACUUGAACCCUAAAUAAAGGCCUUAUGGCACUUUAAUUGCCAUAAGGAAGAAGAUGCUCAACAUUGCCAAAAGUGUUUUUCUUGAAGUCUCGUCUUCCGUAAUGUUUGUAAAAUCGAGGUUUUACCAUCUCUAAUUAAAUAUUUACUCUUGAUUUAGACCACGUAAUCUAAACUUGACGAAAAAUUAUGAUCUUAUGUGAUUUUAUGAAUGUGGUCUUAUCUCUUAUAAGUCGGCAAUGAAUUAAUUAAAGCUUGCUGACAAAUUACAAGCUCAAAAAUAUCUUUUACUUAUUCACAAUCUUAUUUCAUUUUUUUAUAACAUAAUAUUAAAAAUUUGUCUAUUAAAUUAAUUUAAUAAUUUUUUUAAUAAAAAAUCUCAUUGACGACCAAACAACUAAUUUUUUUUUUAUAAAAGCUUUGCUUGUUAAAAUUAUGCUGAAAAAAACUCUACUUAAGUAAGUUCUAUUUUUUUUAUAAAAGCCAUUUUAUUUCUUUAUCUUUUUUAAUUAUUAUUGGAAAAGUAGCGCAGCUUAUCAAAAAAGGAAAGAAAAAAAAAAGUCAAAGUGACGAGUGGCUUGUUUUUUAAUUUCAAAGUCAAUGCAAAGUAAAAGUACCGAAAUAAUCAGUUUUUAAAUCCAAAUAAGUGGCAAUAAAGGGAGGUCUUGUUAGGGGUGUUCGCGGAUCGAAUUUUAUGGAUUGGACAUCAAUCCAUAUUCGAUCCACGAUUUUACGGAUUAUAAAAUUUCAAUCCAAUUCAAUCCACGGAUUUGUAAAAUUCAAUCCAAAUCCAAUCCAUAAAUCUGCGGAUCAGAUGCAAAUUUGACCUAAUCCAUAUCCAAUCUACAAUUUUGCGGAUUGGUUUGUGGACUGAAAAUUUUUAAUUCUGUCAAAUCCACGAACUAACUAAAUAAAAAAAUUUAAUAUAAAAAUAAUUUUACUACGGAUCAAAUUUAAAAUUAAAUAAGAUUUAAAUAAAUAAAUUGCUUAAAUAAAGCUAGCAAAUACAUUUAAAGUUUCAAAAUAUAACACACCAAAAUGAAAAAAAUAUCAUUCGUUUUAGAUCAAGGAAAUUAACUAUUUAGUAAACUAUAUUUGUUUAUUUAAUUAUUUUUUAUUUUUUAUUAUUAUCGGAUAUGAUAUAAUAUAAUGUUAAUGUAACUAUAUUUUAACUUAUUUAUUUACUAGUAAGUACUAAUAACAUAUUUACAAGUUUUAUUUUUAAUUAAAUAAAUACUUUUUAUUUUUUUGCGGAUUCGCGGAUUUUUACCGAUUUACAGAAGUAGAUCCAUAUCCAAUCCACUGAUUGCGGAUUAUCAAAUUUUCAAUUCAAUCCAAUCCACCAAUCCACGGAUCAGACGGAUUGAGCAGAUCGAAUUAGAUUAUGAACACCCUUAGGUUUUGGUGUGCAUUGUUGAAAACUUGGAAGUCUAUAUGACCAUUUAACCAAACUAUAGGGGUAUAACUGUCACAAAUUUUUAAAAAUAAAUUUUACCAAACAUUUAAAUGAUUUUUUUUUCACAAUUGAUUAUUAAAUUCUAAGUGUUAGACUAUUGUAAGAAUACAAAUAAUUGACAUGGACAUAAUAUUAAAUAAAAUUUACUUAUAUAUAUAUAUAUAUAUAUAUAUAUAUAUAUAUAUAUAUAUUAUUGUUUGUAUAUAAAAAUUGCUAACUAAAAAAUAUUUAUAUUUUAUCAAUUUUAUUUCUUUUAUUUUUUUAUCUCAAGAUAAAUAUAAUAAUAACAAUCUCUCUAAAUUUAAUUAUUUUUGCUCUUUAUUGAAUAAGGAUAAUUUUGAGUUUCUGUAAUAUAUGUGAGGAUAUAUAUAAAAUUGUAUUAAAUAUAUAACUAUUCUCAAAAUUAAAUUUUAAAAAACUAGUUCAUUCUCACUUUUCAUUUAAUUAGGCAAAUGGCCACAGAAAUUGUUCUCCCUCAUAUCCAAAUAAACUGAAAACGAGAGAUUUCGUAAGUGUGGAGGGAUGAUGCCUUCGAAACCCAUCACUGAAAGAUUCAAGUUUGUGACUCUAUGGUAUGAGCACCACAACAUAUGCCAAUUCGACUGCAUAUUGAGUAAGACAUGGACCAAUUAUUCAAGAGAUUCAUGAGCCUUCGAAGUGAGAAAUAAAGCAAAUUAUGUGGUGGUCGUGGGUCAAUUGACUACGUUUCGUGAUCUACGUGCGAUUGCAACAGUCGGUUCAUUAAGUGAAAUUAAUGACUCGUCCACUAUAGUAAGAUACUGUCCUCAUUAGGUUGGUGCUGGGUCAAUUUUAUCCAUGAGUCAACUUACAUUAAUUUGAAUUAAUUUAUAAGAGUAUCUCAUUUUCGUUGAUUACGAGUUGUGAUCGAUGACAUGCACGAAAGCAGUCAAUUUACAGGUCAUUCACUAUAUAUAUGGGGUCUAUGGGUGGAUGGAUCUAACGUAAAUUAAGGGUUGAUGAUGACCCUCGACUUCUAACGACGACCAUCGAAGACGACCUUGACUUUACAUGCAAACACACAAUUCGCUCUCAUACAUUAUGUUUUAAAAUUUCUCCAUUUUCCGGGGCCCCGCUGUCGACCGUACACAGUUUAAUUUGUAUAUACAAGACCUCAUUGUUUCUAGCAAGCAUAGAGCCAUAGACCAUAUUAAUUCCAAUUACAUAAAUCUUCAUUUUUAUCAUGAUUUUGGAUCUCGAGCAGUGUGGAUAUAUCCAACCAGAUCCGCCUCACUGGCAUCCCAAUAUAUUUUAGAAUUGAGUAAUGAGUAUCAAUAAAUGUGUAAUUGUAAAUCUACAACGUUUAAUUUUAAUUUGAGGACUCAAAUGAAUUUAUCCAACAAUACCUCGUUAAAUUAAUAUUCCAUAAAUUUUUAACUUUAAUUAAAUAACAAAUUUUGUCCGUCCCAACUUAGGAUUAACGUGGUAAUUAAUAAUUUGAUAAAUUGUUAGAUAAUAAUUUUUUAAAAAAAUCUUAUUUUUUUAUUGGAUCAAACUGAUAUAUAAAUGAAUAAUUAAUUAAUUUUAAAACUAAAUUCAUGUUAUGUCAAUCAAAUGUUAUUGCAAAGAAGACUAGCAGCGACGCUUUGAAAGGUACACCAAAGCCUUUUGCACCUUCUCCUCCGUGACCACCAAUAGAUACUUCCACCAUUUCAACGUCAUGACAUGAUGUAAGUUUCUUUUGUAGAAUUUGCGAAUUGGUAAUCUUUUACACGCGUAUAUUUAUAUCAUUGUAUAGUUAUAGAUUCAAUUACUUUUAUGAUGCAUUUAUUAAUUUGGAAUUGAAGUAGACAAGAAUGGGCUGUAAUGUGAAUGGAGAAUCGAAAUUAGAAUAAGUUAUUUACUUGAACUGUAGAAAUCGAAAUGAGUUGGAUUGUCAUUAAUGUGUUUACUUUGUCUUGGAAUCAGAAUUGAAAUAAGUUAGUUUAUAACAAAUUACUAAAAACUACUUAAUGAACUAUUGUUAUAAUUAUUAUUUUGUAUUUUAAUUAUUAUGAUUAUUUAUUAAAAAUUAUUAUUGUUAUUAUUACUUAUUGUUAAUAGUAUAUUAAUAUAUUAAUAAAUUAUAAUAAUAUAUUAAAUAACUAUAAUAUAUUAAAAAAUAUACUUGUAUUUACAAGAAAUGACUGAUAAAAUUUCUAAAAUCGUCUUCCUCCCUAAAACUCUUAAUGCCACAGCCCUAAAAAUUAAAAAGAUUUGGGAAUUAUAUGUCUUUUUUAAAAUAUUAAAGGGUGUUUAUUUCCUUAAACGGUGGGGACUAAAAGUCCUAUUCCCAAACGAGUAGUGUGCCGGCGUUGGAGGCUAGAAAGACAAUUUGUUACAUUGCUUCAGAAGUGCUUAAUGGAAAUUUUGGUGAGGCAUCACAUAAUUUAAAGGAUCAGGCUACGGUGCAACUGUGGUACCGUACUACAGUUGCAUCCAGCCGUUUUAAUUCACUUAUAUUGGUGAGGUUCACUGGCAUCCAACGGCUGAAUGCAACUAUGGCACGGUACCACAGUUGCACCACAAGUUUCCCCUAAUUUAAAUUACUGGAAUUUGCAUCAAUGGUUUUUAUUGGUUUAUUUACUCGUCAACAAAUUACUGUAACUGCAGAAAACAGUGUAACACAUUGUAUAAUACGUUAAUACGUUAUAUUGGUCAGUGCUCCUACCAAGGAAAUCUUUUUAAGUUUUGUUAGCAGAAUAUUCUUGUAAGGGUGGAGGCAUAAGAGAUUAAUAAUUUAAUAUCUCUUGUUCAUUAGAAGAUUUUUUUUUUUUGGGAAAAAAAAAGAAGAAGAUGGUUUGUUUAAUGUUGAUAAAUUUUGAAGUACAAUUUUAUAGAUGUCGAAUGUGGGCAAAAAGUAAAGAAGCUCAAACACUUUUCUACAUCUAAACUAAUCAUUAGGAUUUAUAUUAACUAAUAAACCCUAAUAAUACGAGCGUUCAUAAAAACUUCAUAUGAACAUUGAACCAGCAUGGCAUCAUAUUGUAAUAAGUUGUACAGCUGUCAAUCUCUUAUUAGUCAGAUAUAUUCUGAGUUAGUUACAUGAAUGUAGUAUAAAUAUCAUACUCUGUACACAUUCUUAGUUAGUUACUUCAGUAGAAUUUUCUCUCCUCUACUCAAUUUUUAAGUUAUCUUUUAUAUUGGGGGCAAAUGAUAUUUUAUUAACGAAAUGAUUUUGCCCUCUUAAUAAGCUCUCAUUUCUCCGCUUUGAUCAACACAGCCUUCUUUUAUUACAUCAAAAUUCUUCCUCUUUCCAUCAAAAUUUCAUGGAUCUGCCCUUACGUAAAAUCAUAUGAGAGUAUAUAAUAAAAUUAAUUAGGUAUGUUUGGAACAUUUUUGGUAUCCUUAAGCUGAUUUUAUUUUUAUUUUUUUAUAGUAUAUAUUGUCAAAAGUAAAUGCUAUAAACACUUUCGGAAAAAAAGAUGAAGAGCACCUUUGGAGUAAUUUUUUCUAUAGGAACUAACAAAACAACUAAAUGAUGUAUGUAUCUCUAAGAUUUAUUAUUAUUAAUUUUUUUUUCUGUAGUUGACAAAGCAUCAUGAUUGUGUUGGAUGAUAAGAUUAAAGGUGGGAAUGGUCCGAAUGGACCAAUUUUUUAGGAUAAAAAAAAAAAUGAUUCAAUCCUGGGCAUGUUUGGCUAUCGAAACUAGUUGAUUAGUCUAAAGUUUAAUUCAAAAGUAAUGGGACUAUUAAUCCUUAGGAAAAUUAUCAUUUGUAUACUCUAUAGAUGCUCUGUUAUAUAAAAAAUUACAACACUUUGAGAGUGUAUCAAUCGUCCACCCUAAGUUGACAAAAUAUAUCUGCCGUCCAUCAAACCGUUACUUGCUGUUUAAAUAGGAUAGCGCCAGAGGGGUAAUUUGGUCUUUUCAUAUGAUACAAGUGAUAAUUCAAGGGUAUACAAGUGAUAAUAAAAGAAUUUAAAGGUAUACAAGUGAUACUUUUCAAGGGUAAAAUCAUCAAUUCGCUAUAAUUCCGUUAACUUUCAAACGACAGCUAACGGUUUAGUGGUCGGCAGAUAACUUUUUUCAAUUUAGGGUGGACGAUUGAUACACCCUCAAAGUGUUAUAGUAUUUUUUAUAAUAGAACAUCUAUAGGGUAUACGAAUGAUAAUAUCCCUAAUCAAUCCUUAAUUCAACUUAGGUUUAAGUAGUAUAUAAAAAAUCUUCUUUAUCACUCUUUUCAUUUUUAUUUAGAUUAAAAUUCAUAUAAAUAAAUAUAAAGAAUUAAUUUCAUAAUUUAUUUAAACUAAAAUUUUAUAUUAUAUUAAAUAUCCAAAUUUUAAUUCAAUAAUUUAUUUAUAUUAGAAUUUUAUGCAAUAUUAAAUCCCAAAACUUUAUUUAAUAAUUUAUUUACAAAAAUAUUAAUAUCAAAUUCAACAAUUAGUAAUAUAAUUUAAAAUAAUUACACUAUUUUAAUAGUUAUUUAGCUAUAUUAAAUUAAAUUUAACAUAUCCUUGUCCGAUACUAUACUAAACAAACGAUAGUACCUUAUAUAGUAUAGUCAAUCUAUUAUAAUAUAAUUCAAUCUAAUCGAACGUGCCAAAUCAGUACAUUUUAAAAAAUAAUUUUAUAACAGCUUUAAAAAAGCAUUUUUUAAGUUACUUUUACAAAAUGUGCUUUCUCCGAAAGCACUCGUGAAAUGCAAAUUCUCACAAAACACGUGGUGUGUUCAAUUGGGCCUCCGCCCAUUAAAACUACAACCAUGAAAGCAAGCAAUGUUCAUUGGGCUUUAUUCUCUCGAGAAAACUUAUACACGUAGCCCACCACCGGCGCCCUAAUUUGUCUCCACCUCUCUAAAUAGAGUUGGACUAUUGGCACCUUUCCAAAAUUCUUCUGAAAUUCCUUUUUCAAUAAUAUUAAGUUUAAUGCUAAAAAUAUCCUUAUUUCCAAAUAAAUACAUUUAAUUUGUGAAUAUUUUAAUUUUCUAUUAUUUUCUCGCUCCUCACAAACAAAUUUUUAUGGGCGAUAAACUUCUUGAUAAAAAUCAAUUAAUUAAAUAAAAUAUCUAUAAGAUUAUAAUGUAAAAAAUUUUAUUAUGAGUCUUAAAAAAAGACAGAUAAAUUUAUCAGAAUGUGUUUUGUUUAUUAUCAAUAGAUUAUUUUAGUAAUUAAAGAAAAAUUUAUAGAGAAUUUGAGAAAAAAAAUUACGUGUGAGUUUGAUAGCAAAGAAAAUAUAAGAGUUUUUUUUUAAGAGAGAAAAUACAAAAGUUUGAAGUGAGAUAAAAUAGAUAUAAGAUAUAUUAGAGUAUUUAUCCUUAAAUUUAAUUGUAACAAAAGAGAGGUUUUAAAAAGAUUUUGGAGGAGUGUCUCCAACUCCUCUAAAUAUUAUUGAUUGAUGCAUAUGUUUCACAGCAUAGAGUGGCUUACAUUGGAGCUUUUCUAAAAAAAUGAAAAUUUCAUUUAAUUAUUUAUUAUUCACGGAUAAGAAAUUAACUUCUUCUUUUUUCUAACGCCACAGUCUGGUGAGCUUGCCUAGUGUGUUUUAGUUGGAUAAAAAUUUUAGCAAAUGCUUCUUGGCAAGGAAGCUUAAAUAGUUUAACCUGAAUUUAACCUCGAAUGAACCCAAAUUAUUAAACCGAACCAAUCCGAAUUGUGAAUCUGAAUUUCAGUUCGAUUCAGUUUGGUUCAGGUUCGUAUUUUCAACUCGAACAAGUUUAAUGCUCCAAUUCGAUCAGGUUGUAACCUAAACCGAAACUCGAAAACCCGAACUGAAACUCAAUUUGGCCACCCCUAAUGAGAACUGAGAAGUACCUGGAUCGUAAAAGAAAGGUUUUGAUGAUAAUUUUGGCUAAAAAUCUGUUUCUUAACUUCUAUUUUUAUUUUUUUAUGCUGUAUUUUAGUUGCUGAAUAGGUUAUAUAUAGAAGUUCAGUUAAUUUUGUUUUGGAUGAAAAAUCAAUGAGUACUUCUGUGAUUAAUAAGUGAAAUUUUGUUUGCAUCAUAUAGUCAGCUAUAAUGCAUUGGAUGGCUUUGACUCAGCAUGGAAGAAAUGCUCUCCGGCAGAUUACUAAAGAGAGCUCUGAUCGCGUGUUGCAUCACCCAUUGCUAUUUUCUUGUCAAGGAGUCAGAUACAGACGAUUGGAAGUGAUUCUAACAACAAUGAGUAAAUUGAUCUUUUGUUUUCCCUUUUCACCAGUUUGGAUCUCUUGACUAAUCAGCCUGUUUGAGUUUUAACUUGUGUAUUAAUGAUUGGUUUUAUAUGUUCAGAAAGUUGACAAGCUUGGUAAAGCCGGUGAAACUGUGAAGGUUGCUCCGGGGUAUUUCCGGAACCACUUGAUGCCCAAAUUGCUUGUUGUUCCAAAUAUCGAGAAGUUGGCUCAUCUCAUUAGAGAGCAGCGCAGGUAUUUGUUUUUCAUGAUUCUUCUCGGUUGAACUUUUUUUGUUUGGGUUGAGAAUGGUUAAUUCUAGUGAUACAGAAAUUUGCUCAUUUUCUUUAGAUACUUUGUUUAGCCAGUUUGUCAAUUAAUUUGACUCAUGGCUUCAAAUUAUUGCUAAAUUCUCAGUUUGGAAAUAUUUGUGAUUUUUGAAGGGGCAUUACAAGUUAUUAAAGUUUGUUGUGCCUGUGACUUAUUUUCAUCAGAUUUGCCAGCCUGAGGAAGAGGAAGAGGAAGAGGAAGAGGAAGAGGUUAGAGUUAUCCGGAAGUCUGAGGACAAUAUGAGUAGAGAAUUUGAGAAGGCAGCUAGGCGCCUAGAGAAUGCUCGACUGGUUUGUGGCCUAUCUUUUAAUUUCUUCAGAUUCGGGACAAAUUGUCUUGGAGUGAACUGAUGUGUUGCCUUUUCCUUUUUUUUUAGCUUGAAUGAUCUAUUUGCUACAGUUAGGAGUGAACGUCGUAAUGAAUUUUAAAUUAUACUGUUUGUUUCGAUUUACUUUUCUAUCUUAGCUCCAUCAAGUGAUUAGUGGAAUGCUGGUCCUGUGAGUAUAAAAUGAAACUCCUUAAGUUAAAUUCCUUAGGCUGUGUUUAUUUUCUGUAGUGGGAGCGAGGAGUGUAAAUUCUUUUCAUUUCAGUAUUUAUUUCAACAAAUUGGCUCCGGAUUGAGAAUCCCACUCAGUAGACCCCACCCAUUUUUGGAGUGAGAUUCCCAUGGGGAGAGGUGGGAGUGAGAUUCCCACUCCCACCUCUCCCUUUUUUUACAUUUUUUUUAAUUUAAUUUAAUUUAACUUAAUUUAAUAUUUAAUAAAAUAAAAUAAAUAAUAUCAUAUUUAUUUGAAUAAUAUUAUUAUAUUUAUUUUAAAAAUAAUAAUACUAUAUUUAUUUAAUAUUAAUAAUUAAUAAUAAUAAAUAGUUUAUUCUAAGAAAAUAUUAAUUUUGUCCUAAAUAAUAUUAUAUUAUUAUUUUAUAUAAUAAUAAAUUUAAUAUAAUUAUAUUAAAUAAAAUAAAAUAAUGUUUCAUUUUAUAUUUACCCUUCUUUUUUACCCUCUUUUUAUUAAAUUUACUAUAAUUAUAUUUAAUAAAUAUUUAAAUAAUAUUAUAUUUAUUUAAAUAAUAUUAAUAUAUUUAACUAAAUAAUAAUUUGGUUUGAUUCUAAGUCUAAAUUACUUAAAAAUAAUAUUAUUAUAUUAAUACAGAAUUAAUAAUAUUACUUUUAUACCAUCUUUAUUUGAAAAUAUAUUAUUAUUAUUAUUAUAUUUAUUUAAAAAUAUUAGUAUUAUAUUUAUUUAAUAUUAAUAAUUAAUACUAAUAAAUAGUUUAUUCUAAGAAAAUAUUAAUUUCAUACUAUGUUAAUAGUAAAAUAUUUCAUUUAUAUUGCCCUUAUCAAUAAUUUUUAAUUUAUAUAAUUAAAAUUAAAAUUAAUAAAAAAAUGUGAUGUUCAUAAUUAAGAAUAUUAAUAAUUAUUAUAAAUUUACAAAUAUAAAUGUUUAUUCAUUAAAUAUAUUUUUUAUUAACUUUGUAAUUAAAAACUAUAAUUCUUUAAAUAAGGAUAAAAUUGUAAUUUGAAACUAUUUACUCCCAAUCCGAGACAAACUAAACACAUAAAUUGAAUUCUGAUCUCCAUUCCAUGCUUUCAUUUUAGUGUAAGUAAACAACAUACUCCCACUCCCAAUCCUAAGAUUCCCACUCCAAUUCAAAAAGUAAACGCUACCUAAAUACAAGUAAUCUUGCUUUCAGAUAUGAAUUAUCUGAUGGAUGUUGUAUUUUCAAGGUAUUGAGGAGAUUCCCCAAUAUUGAAAAAUUGCGUUCCCGUGCAUCAAAAGAUGAUCCCAUAGAAUUGCGUUCACCUGUGACAAAAGAGGAGCUUGUAGUUGAGGUAUGGAUUUUUAUAUUUCUUGGUUGUUUUUAUACUUGUUUCUCAUCAUAAUAGCAAAAGCAGUUUGUUCUGAGUGAUCUGUGUGGUCUCCUAUCAAUGACUGCCGUUUCUAUCAUUUAGUACUAUUGACUAUGUGUGUAUAAAUAUUUUGUUUUUACCAUGUAAUUUCAUAUUCGAUGCAUUUCUAAUACAUUGCAUAGCGUCCAUGAAUGGGAAUGAUAAAAUAAAUUUCAAGCGUGUUUCAAUAGAUGAAAAAACUUGGAACGAUUUAGAAGGAUUUGCUGAUUAAAUAAUUUUCCAAUUUGUUUGCUUGGAGGAAUUGAAUAGUUAACUGAUUAAAGGAUUUCAAGGUGGUUCGGUCCCGCUGGGCAUUGUCAAUAUCAACGGUCAUUAAUUCCUAUUAUCUGAAAUUGAAUUUCCAGUGUGGCAUGGUAACUUUCUGCUAGGGUGUGAUUGUAUAGUAGCCAAUUGUGAGCAACAGAUCCGCAUAGUAAUAUAGAUUGAAAUUUUGCAUCUUAAUCCAUGAAGAUAUAGAUUUUGGCAAUAUUAUACAAGCACUGGGGAUUACCUUAAAUAUUCUGGACUUGUCAUUGAUAGAGUUUCUUUUACCUAGUUAUUGAUAUUUCUUUCAAUUUUCUAUUUUACUCAUACAAUUUAUACAAUUUUAGGUGGCAAGACAACUUUCGUUUUCUAUUGAGCCUGAAAACCUGCAUCUACCAUCACCUCUAUCUGCUUUUCGAGAAUAUGAGGUUCCUAUGCGCUUACCCAAAGCCAUCCCCCUACCGGAAGGAAAGGUCCAAUGGAUUCUCAAUGUUAAAGUCCGCGGCAAAUAAAUAUUUUUUAGUUAAUUUUUUAAUCAAUAAAAAAAGGUAAUUAAAAAUGUAAUUAAUAAAUUACUUAUUAGCAAAUUAAAAAACAAAUAUUAGCAUAAAAUAAUUGAUAUUUCAUUCUCUUACAACAAUCUUACCAAUUAUUAUUUAUAAAUUAAUUAAUGCAAGUUAAUUUAAAGUAAUGUUUAAUAUUCUUGUAACAACCUUACUAAUAAUUUUUUGAUAAAAAAAUUAAUUUAUUAAAUUAAUCCUAGAAGUAAAAUAAUAAUAAUUAAUUUGUAUUUUAUUUUUAAGAUUAAUUUGAUAAAUUUAAUUUUUUUUAACUAAUAUCUCCAAGAAUAUAGUUGUAACGAUAUUAUUACAAAAGGAAAAAAAAUAUAAGAUUAUAAUAUAUUUACCAGUAAGAAUAAUUUAAAAUAUUUUUUAAGAUAUAAAAAUUAAACGGACACUUAAUUAAAAAAAAAAAAAAAAAACUAAAUAAGUAGUUAGCUUUUAACAUUUCAACCUAGUGGUCAUACAAUCAUGGUGCGGCCCGGGAUGGCUGGCCCAGCCCAUCAUGUAAAAAUCCAUGUCACCCUCAUUCUUAAGCUGCUACUCUGCCACUUGCCACGGAGCUCCCCACAUCAUACCGUACCGAUGCCUCUAGAAAGCUAACUUUAAAAAAAUGGUAUUAAUAAGCGUACGCCACGUCACUCCUCACUCUCUUCUUCGUCACUUUCCUCUCACUCAACAUUUUCUCCCCAAACAAAUUCCUUCUUUGAAAAAUCGCAUUUUCUCCUUCACAGCAACCGCUACAAUGUCUUCAACUUCCAAGAAGGUAAUUUUUUUAAAUUUUAUUUUUUGUUUAGUUUCUUUCUGUUGCCUUUUUGUUUCGUUUUUUGAAUUUUCUGUGUCGUUUUUUUUUUCCCAAGGUUUUGGUGCCUGUUGCGAACGGGAGUGAGCCGAUUGAAGCCGUGAUAACGAUCGAUGUUUUGAGAAGGUCUGGAGCUGACGUCACGGUUGCGUCUGUGGAUAAACAGCUUCGUGUCGACGCGUGUCAUGGUGUCAAGAUUGUCGCUGAUGCUCUCGUGUCUGACUGCCGCGACGCUGUUUCUGAUCUUAUAGCUCUGCCCGUAUGUAUUGCAGCUCACCUCAGCUCAUGCUAAUUUAUGUGAUGUUUGUAUAAUUAUAGAUGAUUACUGCUGAUACUGAAUGUUAAAGCUAAAUAAUUCGUUCUUAAGUCAUCUUCAUUUAAUUUUCGAUUGAAAAUGAAAAAAAAAAUAAUUUUAAGCAAAGAAAAUGUUUAUUUUGUUUUAUUUUUAUUUUUAAAUUUUUGGGAUUUCCUUAUUGUGACUGUUGUCAUUCAUUAUAUGGUCCUAGUUAAAUGUUUCAAGUUGUUGUAGUCUGUGAAACUCUUUUCGAUAUUUGUUCUGGCAUGUACAUUUUUCCUUUCAAUUUAUUUUGUUGCUGAUACUUUGAUUAUGAUAUAUCCUUUUUUGUUUCCCUUGUAGGGUGGCAUGCCCGGUGCUACCAAUCUGAAAGAAUCUGAAGUAUUAGAAACCAUUGUGAAGAAGCAGGCUUCAGCUGGGCGUCUUUAUGCUGCUGUCUGUGCUUCACCUGCUGUGGCAUUAGGGUCUUGGGGUCUGUUGAAGGGAUUGAAGGUAAGAAUUAGAUAAGCCUUUUUUUAUGUUUGGUGUUCUUUUGGGAAUUGCAUUGAUAUUUGUGUUAUACAUCAGUUUUGCUCUCACCGAUGAUUGUUAAGUUCUAAUUUAUGGGGUUAUUCAUUUUUUGUAGGCUACUUGUUACCCGUCAUUUAUGGAGCAAUUAGCUCCUGCUUGUGCAGCAACUGUUGAAUCAAGAGUACAGCAGGAUGGUAAAGUUGUUACGAGUCGUGGACCUGGCACUACUAUGGAGUUUGCCAUUGCACUUGUCGAGCAGUUGUAUGGGAAAGAGAGAGCUGAUGAAGUUUCUGGGCCACUGGUAGUAACUUUUAUAGAUAAUGUUGUUUAAAAAAAUUGUGAGUUAUAUAAUUUGUGGAAAUUCAUUCUAAUAGGUUCAUCUAGUAUGUCAAAUUGGAAGGUUCAGAUGCUAAUAUAUUCCAAAAAAUUUGUUCAGGGGAAAAGUAUGACUUUUUGCAUUAGAGAUUCAUUAGAUGAAGUUGUAUACCUGCUGGCCCAUCUUAAUGUGGUGAAAACGAUGUCUGAUGAGACUGAUAUAAUUAUUGGAAUCUUGAUAAAUGCAUUUGUUGAGCUUGAAUGUCUCCACUGAUCACGUUCUUUUUAAUGUAAGUUCUUUCUCUUGGUAUUUGUCUUUGAAUCUUCUCUUCCUCAUGCUUUCGUCUUCACUGUCACCUUGUGCCUAGGUAAUGCGUGCAAAUCAUGGAGAUGAAUACACUAUUGCUGAAUUCAAUCCAAUUCAGUGGACAUUUGACAAUUCUCCCCAAGUAAGAUUUGACUUCUAGUUUCUUGUAGUUGUUUUUCUUCAUCCGAUGUUUUCAGGGAUACCCAUUUGGCAGUAUAUAAAAGUCUGUGAUAUCUUCUAUACAUAUACAUCAUUGGCUUCAGUCAUUUUCGAACAUAUUGGAGGUAGUAGAUGUAUUUUUAUGAUAUCUCUAAUAAAAUCCCAAGUUUGAUCAAUUACAAAAGAAGUAUGAGCGGUGCUGGACCGGGGGGGAAGAAGAAGUGGGGGGUCGGUGUGGUGGGGGUGUGCAGUGCAUGAAUAAAAGGAAAUGAUAGGGGGUGAAAGUUUGUGCUACCGACAUGCUGUAAAAUGGGGACAUAAUAUUUCAAAUUAGAUAUUGUGUGAUCCUUAAUAUUGCUGACUUUUGCUUAAAAUGGAAUUCUUGAUAACUUCAAAUGUUAAAGUUCUUGGUGAAAUUUUGUACUUUCUUUUCUUUCAGAUUCUUGUGCCUAUUGCAAAUGGUUCAGAGGAGAUGGAAGCUGUUAUGAUAAUUGAUAUUCUGCGACGAGCUAAAGCAAAUGUUGUAGUUGCAUCAGUUGAGGAUAAACCAGAAAUUCUGGCUUCUCGUCAAAUUAAAUUAGUGGCAGAUGUGCUCAUUGAUGAGGCGGCUAAACUCUCGUAUGAUUUAAUUGUCUUGCCAGUGAGUUGGGGUGCUUACUGUUGCUUCAUAGUCUUUACCACAUAAUUGACUUACUAACUACAAUUUAUCCAUGCACAUUGCAUAGGGUGGACUUGGUGGCGCUCAAGCAUUUGCGAAGUCAGAGAAAUUGGUGAAUAUGCUAAAGAAGCAAAAGGAAUCAAAUAGACCUUACGGUGCUAUAUGUGCAUCCCCAGCUUUAGUGUUGGAGCCCCAUGGCUUACUCAAGGUACGACCAUUUCUGCUUAAAUUAUUUACUCAGAUUUGGAUCACCUAAUCUGAACUUGAUGAAGGAUUAUGAUGUUGUGUGAUUUUAUGAAUGUGGUCUUAUCUCAUGUAAGUCGGUGAUGAAUUAAUUGAAGUUUGCUGACAAAUUAGAAACUGAAAAACUGCUGCUGCUUCGUUAGUUACAUUACCCAAAGAGUUAAAAUAAACAUCCCAAAUUUUUUGUCCCAAAUUCUGUCCCAAAUGAUAUGGCAUUUAUUGAGUGAUUGUAUUAUCUAACCAACCAAUUGAUGAAUGACACAUCAUUUGAGAUGGUUUUUUGGGAUAAAGAAUUUGGGAUUUUUACCCGCAAAAAUCCCAAGUACUUCCUGCUCCUGCAAUAUCAUUGCUGUGUAUUUGUUUUCCCCUUAGACAUAUUCAAUUGUGGUUCAGGGUAAAAAAGCUACAGCUUUUCCUGUUAUGUGCAACAAGCUGUCAGAUCAGAGUGAAAUCGAAAACAGGGUUGUGGUUGAUGGCAACCUCAUCACCAGUAGAGGGCCAGGAACUUCUAUGGAGUUUGCACUGGCAAUUGUGGAGAAGUUUUUUGGCCGCAACAAGGCACUUGAGCUUGCAAAGAUAAUGCUUUUCACUCGCACCUAACAUUUGUACGGGGACCUGACUACUAUUAAACUAGUGUGUUUAUUUCUGUAUUGCUACUGCUUGUAGAGAGGGGAAAUGGAAACUUGAAUUCAUGUUUGAAUAUGGAUUCACUGUGUGGGUUUGUACAGCAGUUUGAUUUAUAAAUAAAUGAGUUCAAAGAGUUACUUCAAAUAUUCGGAAUAAACCUGAGUUUAGUUCUGUUAUCAAUGGUCGGAGUCCAAUUGCGAUCGACACACUGGGAAUUUUAAUUAUGAACUAAAAAAUUGUUAUGUUAUAUUCCACCUUUCUCAUAAAAUGUUAACUCGAUUUACAGGAUAAGAAGGAAAAGAAAGACGCUAAGAGAGGAGCAGAGACCCAAAAAGAGUUGACCACUUUGUUGGAACAUAAACCUCUAGAAUAUUGAAAUAAAACACAUACCAUAUCUAGUAUUAAGUAUGUAUAUGCAAGAAGAUACAAAUUUGAAGAUCAGAUUUCUCAUUUCAAUUUAUGUUCUGCUUAGAGCAAUGGCUCUUAUUCCACAAGCACAAACAGGAAAGAGUACGCACGAAGUUAAGAAACACACAUUGCAAAAGUUGCAUUAACUACUUGCAGCAGCAUCAUCCAAGAACUUGACUUUAAUCUUCUUGAGCUUCGCUGCGGCAUCUGUCAUAUGCAUUCUCUUGUCAGGUGACUCUAUACAACAAUCCAAAGCCAAAUCCAUGAUGCUUAAUAAACAAUCCAUUUUGGCAGAAAAAGCUUGCUCUUCUCGCACCAAAUUUGCGUCAACAACUUCAGUCAAUCCGUGAGGUAAAGACUCCUUUACCCAUCUCCUUAAACUCAUUUCUCCUGCGAACAUUUCAUCGGUGGGCCUCUUUCUCGUGAAGGUUUCCAUCAAUAAAACACCAUAGCUGUAGACAUCACAUUUAGCUGAAACAAUUCCUUCUGAUCCAUACUCUGCAUUUUUUAAUUUUAAUUAUGAAACAAAUGAUAAAACAAAUAAUUUUUUGAUAAUUAAGGUAACCCAAACUUUGCUCGUGCUUGAAAAAAGAGUAAAAAUUUUAAUUACAAUUGAAACUUUACCUGGUGCCAUAUAACCAAUUGUAGCCAUUGUCAUGGUUUGUGUCACAGAAUCUUCUCCUUCACCUAAGAGUUUGGAAAUGCCGAAGUCGCUCACAUGUGCCACCAUAUUUUCAUCCAAGAGAAUGUUGGUGGGCUUCAAAUCACAAUGAAUUAUAGGUGCCGACGAAUGACCAUGAUGGAGAUAUUCAAGGGCCGACCCCACAUCUAUCAUUAUGUUCAACCUCUCUAGGAUGUCUAAGAAAUAGUUGUGAGAAUAUAACCACUUCUCGAGACUACCAUUUGGCAUGAACUCAAGUACCAAUGCUUUAAAAUCUUGAUUAGAACAACUGCUAAGGAUCUUUAUGAGAUUUCGAUGACGAACAUUCAGUAAAACUUCACAUUCAGAAUCAAAACUCCUAAAUGCUCUCUCUAGUUGCAGAUUGAAAACCUUUAUCGCAACAUCAGUCCCGUCGGAAAUGGUUCCUUUAUAAACUGAUCCAAAGCUACCUGUACCAAGCAAGUUACAUUCAUUAAAUUCAUCAGUUGCUCGUUGAAUGUCUAGGUAGGAUGUUCUUCUCCAUGUUGCAAGAGGUAGGAAAUCUUCGUGAUCUGAUUUUUUUGUACUCCUCUUUCGGCAUCUUAUGUACAUAAUGAUGAUAAUCACUAUAAGUACAGAGGAUACUAUCGGAGGCAAAAUAUAUUUAAGGACAAUUAGAGCAACGUUUUUGGUGCUUUUGCUGUCACCUUGUUUGCAAGGUGGGACUCGGAAUUUAGGUGGACCACAGAGUGCAUAAUUUCCGAAAAAUGAUUCAGCUGACAAGUUUUUAAAAGACCCCUUAACAGGAAUUUCCCCUUCUAGCCUAUUAUGAGACACAUUAAAUUGUUUGAGAUGUGAAAGUGUCUCCAAUGACUUAGGAAUUUUUCCAGAGAGAUUGUUGCCAGAGAGAUCUAAGGAUUCUAAGCUUAUCAAACUACCAACUGAUUCAGGAAUAGGUCCUUGAAAUUGAUUACUAGCCAAUGAUAGAGUUUCUAUAUCUUUGAGGGCACCGAUGGUUGAUGGAAUAUCACCUGAUAAUUGAUUCCUUGAUAAAUCUAAAACUCUCAAGACCUUUAACUUUUGUACAUUGGAAGGGAGAGAAUCAUUUAACGAAUUUGACGACAAGUUUAUCUCUAAGAUGUACUCAAGGCUCCACAAGGAUGACGGUAUACUAGAAGUGAGCUUGUUGGAGCCUAAGUGGAGUUCUCUUAGAGAUGUCAGACUCGCCAAGCAUGGUGGUAUAUGUCCAGAGAGCUUAUUUCCAUUUAACAUUAUUCCGUACAUCAACUCCAAGUGGCAAAGAUCAUAGGGAAUGGAUCCUUCCAAAUUAUUUUCUUCAAGAGAUAAACCUUGUAGCCGCUUAAGUCUUCCCAUCGUUGGUGAAAUAGUUCCAUUCAAGUCAUUGAAGCCGAGGCUUAAGAGGAUCAGGCCACGCAACUUACCAAUUUCUUUAGGAAUGCUGCCCCCGAGUUUGCAGUUGGAUGCAUAAAAUUGUCGAAGAGAAGCAGAGAAAUUUCCAAUUACUGGUGGAAGGAUGCCACCCAAUGGAUUAUAAGCUAAGGCUAAAACUGUUAAAUUUCUGCAAUUAGUCAGAGAAGAGAGAAAACUCCACUGAUCUGCUGAAGAUGAUUCUGUCGUCAAGUUAUUAAAUGCUAAGCCAAGCACGCCGAGGUGUCUCAAGUUGCCAAAUGUAUUUGGAAUAUGGCCUGAGAAUGAGUUAAAGCUCAAUUCUAGGCCAAUGAGUUUAGAAGCGUUUGUGAUGGAGUUGGGAAUUUUUCCGGUAAGGUUAUUGGCCGCCAAGGUUAAAUACUCUAUGCUCGGAAGCGAGUGGCCAAUCGUUGAUGGUAAGUGGCCUGAAAGUUGAUUGCUAAUUAGAUUAAGGACUGUUAGGGUUGAAAUGUUGAAGAUUGUGGGUGGAAUGGGGCCACUUAAAUUAUUCGCACUAAGAACAAGGGUAUCCAAAUUUUGUAGAUUGCCAAUCUCAGUUGGAAUUUGACCUGUCAUAAAGAUAAACGCCAAAUUGAUGAGUUAUUGAGCUUUUUACUUAACAUAAAUUUUAAUUUCAUAACGCAUGAAAAUCAAAUUUGCCCACAAAAUGUGUGUUAUUAGUUUUAUAAUUUUUUUUUGGGUUUUUUUUGGGGGGGGGGGGGGGGAGAUUGAUAUUGCUACCUCAUAAUUUUUGUAAAACCCCACCCGCUUUCAGAGAAUUAUUGGAACAAGAUUCUUAAAAAAAUUCAAAUAAAGAAGAAGUUUGGAGAAAUAAUCAAUUAAAUCCAUCUUAAUAUACUUUUUGAAACUUAUAUUCUUUUAUCAUAUAUAAUAACUAAGGUUGCUUUAACAUAAAUUUAAUAUAACUAGUCUACUCUCAUAAGGUAGAAUUACUAAAAUACCCACAAAUUUACUUCAACUUCAACUAAACUAACAAAAUGUAUUUGUUGACAUGUGGGGAACUAAAAAUUAUUGAAUUUUAUUUUAGAAAUAUUGUAUUACAAAACAUAAAACAAAAUGCCGAAACUAUAUAUUAGAUACAAUAGUACAUGUUUUUCGGGGUAAUUUGGUCAUUUUAUAUUAUAAGAGUAAAAUAGUCAAAUUAAACUUAUUUUAAAGCAACCGUAAACGGUCAAAGAUUGUUAAAAGCCCUAAGUCAUAAAAGAAAAACAUUAUAAAAAUAAUUUAUUAAUUGUUCAGACUUAAUUUAUAAUUUUAUAACAUAAUGUGAACUUAUUAUAACUAUCUUUUCAAAAUGAGGUGGGUUUGCAAGAAUAAUGAGUGGAAAUAUCCCCACCCUAUAAAAUAAAAAGAAUUUUGCAGCUAUGCAAAUGCAAAUAUGUAGAACGUACCUUGUAGGUUGUUAUAACCUAGAUUCAGAAUGAAAAGGCUGCUAAAAUUUCCUAUCCCUGAAGGAAUAUUUCCAUCAAUAACGUUGUAGAUUGCGUCGAACACCUCCAGCUUCGAUAAAUUGAGGAGAGAAUUUGGGAUUGGACCCGUGAAACUGUUAUUAUAAAGCCUCAACGUUUGUAAUUUGGAUAAGACACCAAUCCAUGUUGGAAUGCUUCCACUCAAUUUAUUGAAACCGAAUCUAAUGAAUCUGAGUCGGCGUAAUUGCCCCAAUUCAUUAGGCAGAUGGCCAUGAAAAUUAUUAUGAGCAACAUCAAGAGAUACUAAGAACGUGAGAUUUCCCAAGUGUAGUGGAAUGGUGCCUCCGAGACCCAUAUCUGAAAGAUUCAAGGCAGUGACUCUUUGAUGGCGUGAACCACAAGAGAUACCAACCCAGCUACAUAUUGGAUAAGAUAUAGACCAAUUAUUUGUCAGAUCACUUCGAUAAUCAACGACACGGGCUUUGAAUGCAAGAAGAGCCGAUUGAUCUGUUGUUAAGUUGCUCAAAGUCGUCAUAGCUAAGCUAGCUAUGGAAUAUUGUACCAACAACAUAGGAACAAAGAAGAAUGAUAAGCACAUAUUGGUCGUUUUUUUUUAUAGAUGCAGCAAUCUAAUUGCUAGGUGAAGUUGAUACAAGUUUUAAGUGAAGGAAACUAGCAUAUACUUAUACAAGAGACGUAUGAAUUUGAAAACAAGAAAAGAAAAAAAUGUACAGGAGAGUGGAGACAUGCAAAUUGGUAUAUUUCAUCAUUGAGCGAGUCGUCCAAGUAAACUCAUACAGACCUGUAAAUUGUUAUAGGCCGCGGUACUUGAACCGUGAAUAAAGGGCUUAUGGCACUUGACUUACCAAAAAGAAGAAGAUGCUCAACAUUGGCAAGGCCUAUGCAUUCUGUCCAUUUGUUCACGUUUUGCCAAGGCUCAGGGCAACCACAAUAUGUUCUUUUUCUUCCCUCUUAAAACAAAAAACAAAAAAAAAAGACGACAUUUACAUUUGGGCUAAUAAUUAUAACUAAACAAUUAAUAAUACUGAGGGUCAGUGGUAAUGUAGCUUUAAAAUAAUUGUUAUUAGUUGUGUCUUAAAAAUAAAGAAAAAAAAUAACUAUACCCAUAUAAUUAAUAAAAUAAUCAUGUAAAUUCCUAAGCUUUUAACAAUAUACACCAAGACCCCCUACCGUUACUUUUUACCAUUUAUUUGGAUGUCACAUGCUUUUUUUUUUUAAUUUUCACAGUGGAUAUCAAAUGCUAAAUUUACUGUUAUUCCCAUAUCAUGUCAUCACUUGCUUCUACACACAUUGAUUGUUUUUCCAAAGUUUCAAAUUGAAUUAAAAACAUUCUAAUUAACCUAAAAAAAACUCAUCCAACCAGAUAUAAAUCAUCUAAUUAACCUAAAGAUAGCUACACCCCCAUAUUAAUUCCAAUUAAAUAAAAUUCAUUUUUGUCAUGAUUUUGGAUCUCGAGCAGGGUGGAUAUAUCCAACUAGAUCCGCCCCAUUGGCAUUCCAGUAUAUUCUGUAAUUGGAAGAGUAUGAAUGACUUAAUUUGUAAUUUUAAAUUUGUAACGUUCAAUUCUAAUUUGAGGAUUCAAAUGAAUUUAUGCGAAUCUAAAAGGGGACUGAAGAUUGGCAUGCAUACAUGCAUACAUAUACAUAUAUAUAUAAAUAGAGAGAGAGAGAGAGAGAGAGAGAGAGAGAGGUAAUAUAACAUUCUUCUUGAUGAAGAUUUUUGUGCCAUACGAAUUAAAGAGAGUAUUGUGUCGAUGUUCGAGGCUAGAGCGACAAUUGGUUACAUUGCUUCAGAGGUGUUUAGUAGAAACUUUGGUGAGGCAUCACAUAAUUUAAAUUACUAGAUUUAGCGAGAUAUAUAUAUUUUCCACAUUGGAUUUACAAGCAUUUCGAGCAGUAUAAUGAAUUAAAAUUACUCGGAAUUGUAAACAGCGAGGAAAGUGAAAUUGCUAAGAAGAUGAAUAUUUUGUUGUUUUGUGGUGUACACGGACUCGUCCAUCGGAUAGGUCGCCCAUGAACAGAGGGAUAGAAAUGUUAUUGCCAAGAAGCAGACUGACUAGCAGUGACGCUUUGAAAAGUCCACCGGACAUCGUCUCCUCCAAGACCACCAAUAGAUUCUUCCACCAUUUCAACGUCGUGACGUGGGGAUCGGAAUUGAAUUAUAGGAUGCUUGUAAGUUUCCUUUGUGGAACUUGUGAAUUUGUGAUGGCAAAAGUCAAUGAUGCAUGUAACUAGCUAGCCCGUGUAGACUCCGUUUUACACUUUUUCAAAACCCAAAAGCACGCUAAAUCUUAAUCUUAAAAGAAUUUUUGAUUCAGUGCUGAAUUUUGGGCUUAUCUUUAAGUAAUCUUUUACCACGCAUGCAUUUUUGUCAUUGUGCAGUCAUCGAUUGCUUCUAAAGAUCGUAAUCCUUAAGAAAAAAUUACUUCUCUUGAAAGUGAAAGCAGGGCAGCUAUUGGCGUAUUGCAUUGCAGCUGCUAUGUGUAGUAGUCAAUUCUUGGAAACAACUAGUUUUCUUAAAUUGUAAACGGUCCCCUUUAUGACUGGGAGAUUUUGAACAAAAUUAAUAUGACGAAUUCUUUGCAGGUGUUGUUCCUUGAAGUCUCAUCUUUCACAAUGUUUCUGAAAUAAAGAUAUUACCAUCUCUGAUUUAAUAUUUAUUCUUGAUUUGUACCACCUAAUCUGAACUUGAUGAAAGAAUAAAGAUUAUGAUCUUGCCUGAUUUUAUUAAUGUGGUCUUAUCUCACGUAAGUCAGUAAUGAAUUAAGGAAAAUUAUCAUUCGUAUACCCUAUAAUUGCUCUGUUAUAAAAAAUACUACAACACUUUGAGGGUGUAUCAAUUGUCCACCCUAAGUUAACAAAAUGUAUCUGUCAUCCACCAAACCGUUAUUUGCCGUUUAAAUAGAAUGACACCAGAGGGGUAAUUUUAUCUUUUCAUAUGAUACAAGUGAUAAUUUAAGGGUAUACAAGUGAUAAUAAAAGAAUUUAAAGGUAUACAAGUGAUAAUUUUAUUUACUUUAAUUUAAGUUUCAAGGGUAAAAUCGUCAAUUCACUAUAAUUCCGUUAACUUUCAAACGGUAGCUAACGGUUUGGUGGUCGGCAGAUAGCUUUUGUUAAUUUAAGGUGGACGAUUGAUAUACUCUCAAAGUGUUGUAGUAUUUUUGAUAAUAGAGCAACUAUAGGAUAUAUGAUUGAUAAUUUCCCAUGAAUUAAUUAAAGUUUACUGUCAAAUUACAAACACAAAAACUGCUGCUGCUUCAUUAUUCACAAUACCUAAAGUCAGUGCAGAACUUAAUAAGUUUUCCAAAAGUUUUACGCUUUCUUUCCCCCAAAUCCCAAGUACUUACUAGAUAUGUCAUGUUUAUACCCAAAGUCAGUGCAGAACUUACUCGAUAUGUCAUGUUUACACAAGAGUUUGUUUAUAAAUAAAUGAGUUGACAAAUAUUUGCCAAAAAAAACGGUGAGUGAUGUCUAGUUCUAUUUUCACAGUUCAGAGUCCAAUUUUGAUUACUGGAAAUUUUAAUUAUGAAGUUGAACUAAGAAUUUGUUAUAAUAUCUUCAACCUUCCUAUACAGUCAUCUGGAAUAAUAAUAUAUCAAAAACAGUAAUAACUCGAUUUACAGGGUGAGAAAGAAAAGAAAGACGCUACGAGGGAAGCAGAGAUUCAAAGACUUCGCCACUUUGUUGGAGGAACAAUUUCAUAAAUCUCCAGAAUAUUGACAUAAAACACAUAACAUACAUAUCUAGCAUUAAGUAUAUUUAUGUAUGUCCAAAGAUAAAAAUUUGAAGAUUAAAUUUAUCAUUUCAAUUUAUGUUCUGCCCAAAGCAAUGGCUUUUAUUCCACAAGCACAAACAAGAAAGAGUACGCACAAAGUUAACAAACACACAUAGCAAACGUGACAUCAACCACUUGCAGCAGCAUCAUCCAGAAACUUCACUCUAAUCUUCUUGAGCUUUUCAGCGGCGUCUUUCGUAGAUGCCCCCUGUUCUGGUGAUUCCAUGCAACAAUCCAAUGCCGAAUGCAUGAUGCUUAAUAAACAAUUCAUUUUAGGAGAAAAAACUUGCUCUUCUCUCACCAAGUUUGCAUCGACAACAUCACUCAAGGCACGAGGUAAUGACUCCCUUACCCAGUCUCUUAAACUUAUUUCUCCUGUAAACAUUUCAUUUGUGGGAUUCUUUCUGGUGAAAGUUUCCAUCAAUAAAACACCAUAACAAUAGACAUCACCUUUGGCCGAAAUCAUUCCUUCUAAUCCUUACUCUGCAUUUUUUUGGUUUCGAUAGAUCAAAUGGAUGUGACAUCAUAAAACAAAUGAUAAACAAAUAGUCUUUUGACAGUCAAGAUGGCCCAAACUUUGACUGUGCUUCGAAAAGAGCGAAAAUUUGAAAUUAUAAUUGAAACCUUACCUGGUGCCAUAUAACCAGUUGUAGCCACUGUCAUGAUUUGGGUCACAGAAUUUUCUUCAUCACCUAAGAGUUCGGAAAUGCCGAACUCACAUGUGCCACCAUAUUUUCAUCCAAGAGAAUGUUGCUAGGCUUCAAAUCACAAUGAAUUACAGGUGCUGAUGAAUGAUCGUGAUGGAGAUAUUCAAGUGCCAGCCGCACAUCUAUCAUUAUAUUCAACCUCUCUAGGAUAUCUAGGAAAUAGUUGUGUGAACACAACCAUUUCUCAAGACUACCAUUGAGCAUGAACUCAAGCACCAGUACUUUAGAAUCUGGAUUGCAACAGCUGCUAGUGAUCUUUGUGAGAUCUUGAUGACGAACAUUCCACAAUACUUCACAUUCAGAAUCAAAACUCCUAAAGGCUCUCUCUAGCUGCAGAUUGAAAACCUUUAUUACAAUAAUAGUCACAUCAUAAAGUGUGCCUUUAUAAACAGAUCCGAAGCUCUCCAUACCUAGCAGGAUACAUUCACUAAAUCCAUCAGCUGCUCGUUGAAUAUCAUGAUAGGAUAGUCUUCUCCAUGUUGUCGAAGAGAACAAAUCUUCUUUAUCUGGAGUUCUUGUUUUCCUAUUUUGAAAUAUUAUGAAGAAUCAUAACAAUUGUUAUUAGUGCAUUGGAUAUAAUCGAAGGCAAAGUAUAUUUCAGGACAAGCAGAGUAGCAUUCUUGGAUCCUUUGCUAUUAUCUUCUUUGCAAGGUGGGACUUGAAGGCCUGGUGGACCACAUAGUGCAUAAUUCUCAAAAAACGAUUGAGCUGAAAUGUUUUUAAAAGGUCCUUUGAUAGGAAUUCCCCCUUCUAGCCUAUUGUGAGACACAUUAAGUUGUUUGAGAUAUGAGAGUGCCUCCAUUGACUUUGGAAUUUCUCCAGAGAGAUUGUUGCUAGGGAGAUCCAAAGAUUCCAACCUUAUCAAACUACCAAAUGAUUUAGGGACCAGACCAUAAAAUUGGUUUCUAGCCAAGGACAAAGUUGCUAGAUCUUUGAGGCCACCAAUACUUACUGGUAUAUCACCUGAUAAUUGAUUUCUUGAUAAAUCAACUCUAUUAAGACCUUUAAGUUUUGUACAUCUGAAGAUAGAUGACCACUUAGAGAAUUUGUUGACAAGUUUACAUACAAGAUGUACUCAAGAUUCCACAAGGAUGAUGGGAUACUAGAAGUGAGCGUGUUGCAGCUUACAAAGAGUGUUUUUAAGGAAUUGAAUAUCUGAAAUCUUGUAUGUAAAUAUUAACACUUAGAGAAUUUGUUGACAAGUUUUUAAGGAUUUACUGAUUAAAUAAUUUUCCAAUUUGUUUGCCUGGAGGAAUUGAAUAGUUAACUGAUUAAAGGAUUUCAAGGUGGUUAGGUCCAGCCGAGCAUUGUAAAUAUUAACGGUCAUUAUGAAUGUGUAAUUCCUAUAUGUGAAAUUGAAUUUCCAUGGUAAAUUUCUGCUAGGGUGUGAUUGUAUGGUAGCCAAUUGUGAGCAACAGAUCCACAUAGUAAUAUAGACUGAAAUUUUGCGUCUUAAGCCAUGAAGAUAUAGAUUUUGGCAAAUAUUAUACAAGCAUUGUUUGCAACACCACAGCUAAUUUGCAGUAGGAUGAAACACUCAGAAUUUUGCCUUUUUCAUGUAUAAAAUUUUAUUUUUUUAAUUGUGAUAUUACAGUUUUGCCCAUCAAGCAUUAUGAAGCUUAAUAUUUGGAUAAAUGUUAGGUUUAAUCUAUAAAUUUUAACUUCAGUGUUUAUUUAGUUUUUAUAUUUUGUAAAAUAUCUCAAGGCAGCCCUAUUAUCAAAUAUUGGCUUGAUCCGUAUAUAUUAACUUCAGUGCUUUAUUUAGGUUUUAUAUUUUGAAAAAUACUUUAAGGCAGUUCUAUUAUCAAAUAUGUUAUGCUCUUGCUUUUAUUUUUUCUUUGUUUUUAUAAUAAUACUCUGAUAACAAUAUUUUUUUACAUUAAUUUUUUAAUCAAUAAAAAGGUAACUAGCAAAUUAACUGAUAAAUUAAUUUGUUAAUUUUUUUAAUCAAUAAAAAAUUUAAUUAAUAAAUUACUUGGUAGCAAAUUAAAAAAUAAAUAUUAGCAUAAAACAAUUGAUAUUUUUCAUUCUCUUACAACAAUCUUACUAAUAAUUUUUUUAUAAAAAAUUAAUUUAUUAAAUUAAUCCUUAAAAGUAAAAUAAUAAUAAUUAAUUUGUAUCUUAGUUUUAAAGUUAAUUUGAUAAAUUCAAUUUUUUAAUUAAUAUCUCCAAAAAUAUAGUUGCAACGAUAUUAUUGCAAAAGUAAAAAAAAAAAUAUAUAUAGAAUUUUAAUAUAACUGCCAGUAAAAAUAACUUGAAAUAUUUUUUAAGAUAUAAAAAUUAAACCAACACUUAAUUAAAAAUAUAAAGAAUUAAAUAAACAUUUAUCUUCUAACAUUUCAACCUACUGGCUAAUGGUCAUACAAUCGUGGUGUGGUCCGGGAUGCCCGGCCCAGCCCAUCAUGCAAAAAGCCAUGUCACCCAUAUUCUUAGGCUGCUACUGCAUUAAAAAAAUGAUAUUAAUAAGCGUACGCCACGUCACUCCUCACUCUCUUCUUCGUCACUUUCCUCUCACUCAACAUUUUCUCCCCAAACAAAUUCCUUCUUUGAAAAAUCGCAUUUUCUCCUUCACAGCAACAGCUACAAUGUCUUCAACUUCCAAAAAGGUGAUUUUUUUUUAAUUUUAUUUUUUGUUUAGUUUCUUUCUGUUGCCUUUUUGUUUCGUUUUUUGAAUUUUCUGUGUCGUUUUUUUCCCCCAAGGUUUUGGUGCCUGUUGCGAACGGGAGUGAGCCGAUUGAGUCCGUGAUAACGAUCGAUGUUUUGAGAAGGUCUGGAGCUGACGUCACGGUUGCGUCUGUGGAGAAACAGCUCCGUGUCGACGCGUGUCAUGGUGUCAAGAUUGUCGCUGAUGCUCUCGUGUCUGACUGCCGCGACGCCGUUUUUGAUCUUAUAGCUCUUCCCGUAUGUAUUGCAGCUCUCCUCAGCUCGUGCUAAUUUAUGUGAUGUUUGUAUAAUUAUAGAUGAUUACUGCUGAUACUGAAUGUUAAGCUAAAUAAUUCGUUCUUAAGUCAUCUUCAUUUAAUUUUCGAUUGAAAAUGAAAAAAAUAAUAAUUUUAAGCAAAGAAAAAUAUAGAAAAUGUUUAUUUUGUUUAAUUUUCAAUUUUUAAUUUUCAGGGAUUUCAUUAUUGUGACUGUUAUCAUUCAUUAUAUGGUCAUAGUUAAAUGUUUCAAAUUGUUGUAGUCAGUGAAAUUCUUUUCGAUAUUUAUUCUGGCAUGUAUAUUUUUCCUUUUCAAUUUCUUUUGUUGCUGAUUCUUUGAUUAUGUUAUAUCCUUUUUUGUUUCCCUUGUAGGGUGGCAUGCCCGGUGCUACCAAUCUGAAGGAAUCUGAAGUAUUAGAAAGCAUUGUGAAGAAGCAGGCCUCAGCUGGGCGUCUUUAUGCUGCUGUCUGUGCUUCACCUGCUGUGGCAUUAGGGUCUUGGGGUCUGUUGAAGGGAUUGAAGGUAAGAGUUAGAUAAGCCUUUUUGAUGUUUUGUGGUCUUUUGGGAAUUGCACUGAUAUUUUUGUUAUGGUUCAGUUUUCUUCUCGCUGAUGAUUGUUAAGUUCUAAUUUAUGUAGUUGUUCAUUUUUCCUAGGCUACUUGUUAUCCGUCAUUUAUGGAGCAACUAGCUCCUGCUUGUGCAGCAUGUUGAAUCAAGAGUACAGCAGGAUGGUAAAGUUGUUACGAGUCGUGGACCGGGCACUACCAUGGAGUUUGCCGUUGCACUUGUUGAGCAGUUGUAUGGGAAAGAGAAAGCUGAUGAAGUUUCUGGGCCACUGGUAUUAGCUUUUAUAGAUAACGUUGUUUAAAAAAAUUAUGAGUUAUAUAAUUUGUGGAAGCUUCAGAUGCUAAUGUAUUCAAGAAAAUAAGUUCAGGGGAAGAGUAUGACUUUUUGCAUUAGUGAUUCAUUAGAUGAAAUUGUAUACCUGCUGGUCCAUCAUAAGGUGGUGAAAACAAUGUUUGAUUUAAUUAAUGAAAUCCUGAAAUAUGCAUUUGUUGAGCUUCAAUGUCUCCACUGAUAAAAUUCUUUUUAAUGUAAGUUCUUUCUCUUGGUAUUGUAUUUGAAUUUUCUGUUCCUCAUGCUUUCGUCUUUACUGUCACCUUGUGCCUAGGUAAUGCGUGCAAAUCAUGGAGAUGAAUACACUAUUGCUGAGUUCAAUCCAAUUCAGUGGACAUUUGACAAUUCUCCUCAGGUGAGAUUGGACUGUUAGUUUCUUGUAUUUGUUUUUCUUCUUCCAUGUUUUGAGGGAUACCCAUUUGGCAGUAAAUAAAAAUCUGUGAUAUCUUCUAUACAUGUACAUAUACAUCAUUGACUUCACUCAUUUGUGAACAUAUUGGAGGUAGUAGAUUUAUUGUUAUGAUAUGUCUAAUAAAAUCCAAAGUUCGAUGCAACUACAAAAGAAGUAUGAGCAGUGCUCGACCAGAGAGGAAAAAGGUGGUUUUUUUCUUUUUUUUUUUUGGGGGGGGGGGGGGGGUUGGUUGGGUGGCAAAGGGAAUGAUAAGUUCAGGGUAUCAACAAGCUGUAAAAUGGCUAUCGAAAAACUGAUAUUUCACAUUAGAGAAUGUGAGGACCUGAAGAUUGCUGACUUGUGGUCAAAAUGGAAUUCUUGAUAACUUUAAAUGUUAAAAAUUCUUGGUGAAAAUUUUGUACUUUUUUUUCUUUCAGAUUCUUGUGCCUAUUGCGAAUGGUUCAGAGGAGAUGGAAGCUGUUAUAAUAAUUGAUAUUCUGCGACGAGCUAAAGCAAAUGUUGUGGUUGCGUCAGUUGAGGAUAAACUAGAAAUUCUGGCUUCUCGUCAAGUUAAAUUAGUGGCAGAUAUGCUUAUUGAUGAGGCAGCUAAACUUUCGUAUGAUUUGAUUGUCUUGCCAGUAAGUGGGGUUGCUAACUCUUGCCUCAUAGUCUUUACCAAAUUAUUGACUUACUAGCUACAAUUUAUCUAUGCACAGGGUGGACUUGGUGGUGCUCAAGCAUUUGCGAAGUCAGAAAAAUUGGUAAAUAUGCUAAAGAAGCAAAAGGAAUCAAAUAGACCUUACGGUGCUAUAUGUGCAUCCCCAGCACUAGUGUUGGAGCCCCAUGGCUUACUCAAGGUAUGACCAUUUCUGCUUAAAUAUUUAUUCUUGAUUUGAAUCACCUAAUCUGAACUUGAUAAAACAUUGUGAUCUUGUGUGAUUUUAUGAACGUGGUCUUAUCUCAUGUAAGUCUGUAAUGAAUUUAUUGAAGUUUGCUGACAAAUUACAAACUCAAAAACUGCUGCUGCUUCAUUAGUUACAGUACCCAAGGAGUUAUGAUAGACAUCCCAAACUUUUUACCCCAAAUUCCCUCUCAAAUGACAUGGUAGUUAUUAAGUGGUUGGUAAUUUUUUAUAAGAUAUAAGUGAAUUAAUUAAUUAUAUUAUUUAAUCAACCAAUUGAUGAAUGUCACGCCAUUUGAGAUGAAUUUUUGGGAUGUGUAGCAAAACUUUAUGCUGAUUUGUUUUGGCUACAUUCAUGUAAAACAUUUUUCCCCAAAUCCCAAGAACUUCCCGCAAUAUCAUUCCUUUGUAUUUGUUUUCCCCUUUAGACAUGUUUAACUUUGGUUCAGGGUAAAAAGGCUACGGCUUUUCCUGCCAUGUGCAACAAGCUAUCAGAUCAAAGUGAAAUCGAAAACAGGGUUGUGGUUGAUGGCAACCUUAUCACCAGCAGAGGGCCAGGAACUUCCAUGGAGUUUGCACUGGCAAUUGUGGAGAAGUUUUUUGGCCGCAACAAAGCACUUGAGCUUGCAAAGAUAUUGCUUUUCACCCGCACCUAAAAUUUGUACCAGGACCCGACUAAUAUUAAACUAGAGUGUUUAUUUCUGUAUUACUACUGCUUGUAGAGAGGCGAAAUGGAAACUUGAAUUCAUGUUUGAAUAGGGAUUCACUGUGCGGGUUUGUACAAGAGCUUGUUUAUAAAUAAAUGAGUUCAUAAAGAGUCAUUUUAAAUAUUUGGAAUAAACGUGAGUUGCUGUUUAGUUCUGUUUUCAAUGUUCACCGUUCAAUUGUGAUCCAGAGCAAUAUAACUACACUCACUGGGAAUUUUAAUUAUGAACCAAGAACGAAGUUGAACCGAGAAUUUGAUACUUUAUAUAUUCCAGUUACCAUAUUUAAGAAAGAGUAUUGAAAAGAAAGACGCUAAGAGAGAAUAUUGAAGUUAAACAGAUACCAUAUCUAGUAUUAAGUCUGUAUGCCAAAGUUACAAAUUCGAAGAUCAGAUUCCUCAUUUCAAUUUAUGUUCUGCUCAAAACAAUGGCUCUUAUUCCACAAGCACAAACAAGAAAGAGUACGAACAAAGUUAACAGAGACACGCAGUGAAAAUUACGCUAAUUGGUUGCAGCAGCAUCAUCCAGGAACUUCACUUUAAUCCUCUUGAGCUUUGCUGCAGCGUCUGUCAUAUUUAUCCUCAUGUCGGGUGACUCCAUACAACAAUCCAAUGCCAAAUCCAUUAUGCUUAAUAUACAAUCCAUUUUGGCAGAAAAAGCUUGCUCUUCUCGCACCAAAUUUGCGUCAACAACUUCACUCAAUCCGUGAGGUAAUGACUCCUUUACCCAUGUCCUUAAACUCGUUUCUCCUGUGAACAUUUCAUCGGUGGGCCUCUUUCUCGUGAAAGUUUCCAUUAAUAAAACACCAUAGCUGUAGACAUCACAUUUAGCUGAAACAAUUCCUUCUGAUCCAUACUCUGCAUUUUUUUUAAUUUCAAUUAUGAAACAAAUGAUAAAACAAAUAAGUUUUUGAUAAUUAAGGUAACCCAAACUUUGCUCGUACUUGAAAAAAGAGUAAAAAUUUUAAUUACAAUUGAAACUUUACCUGGUGCCAUAUAACCAAUUGUAGCCAUUGUCAUGGUUUGUGUCACAGAAUCUUCUUCUUCACCUAAGAGUUUGGAAAUGCCGAAGUCGCUCACAUGUGCCACCAUAUUUUCAUCCAAGAGAAUGUUGGGAGGCUUCAAAUCACAAUGAAUUAUAGGUGCCGACGAAUGACCAUGAUGGAGAUAUUCAAGAGCCGACCCCACAUCUAUCAUUAUAUUCAACCUCUCUAGAAUGUCUAAGAAAUAGUUGUGAGAAUACAACCACUUCUCGAGACUACCAUUUGGCAUGAACUCAAGUACCAAUGCUUUAAAAUCUGGAUUAGAACAACUGCUAAGGAUCUUUAUGAGAUUUCGAUGACGAACAUUCUGUAAAACUUCACAUUCAGAAUCAAAACUCCUAAAUGCUCUCUCUAGUUGCAGAUUGAAAACCUUUAUCGCAACAUCAGUCCCGUCGGAAAUGGUUCCUUUAUAAACUGAUCCAAAGCUACCUGUACCAAGCAAGUUACAUUCAUUAAAUUCAUCAGUUGCUCGUUGAAUGUCUAGGUACGAUGUUCUUCUCCAUGUUGCAAGAGAUAGGAAAUCUUCGUGAUCUGAUUUUCUUGUACUUCUAUUUCGGCAUCUUCUGUACAUAAUGAUGGUAAUCACUAUAAGGACCGUGGAUACUAUCGGAGGCAAAAUAUAUUUAAGGACAAUUAGAGCAACUUUCUUGGUUCUUUUGCUGUUAUCUUGCUUGCAAGGUGGGACUCGAAGUUUAGGUGGACCACAGAGUGCAUAAUUUCCAAAAAAUGAUUCAGCUGACUAGUUUUUAAAAGACCCCUUAACAGGAAUUUCCCCUUCUAGCAUAUUUUGAGACACAUUAAAUUGUUUGAGAUGUGAAAGUGCCUCCAAUGACUUAGGAAUUUUUCCAGAGAAAUUGUUGCCGGAGAGAUCUAAGGAUUCUAAGCUUAUCAAACUGCCAACUGAUUCAGGGAUAGGUCCUUGAAAUUGAUUACUAGCCAAGGAUAGAGUUUCUAGAUCUACGAGGGCACCAAUGGUUGAUGGAAUAUUACCUGAUAAUUGAUUCCUUGAUAAAUCUAAAACUCUCAAGACCUUUAACUUUUGUACAUUGGAAGGGAGAGAAUCAUUUAAUGAAUUUGACGACAAGUUUAUCUCUAAGAUGUACUCAAGGCUCCACAAGGAUGACGGUAUACUAGAAGUGAGCUUGUUGGAGCCUAAGCGGAGUUCUCUUAGAGAUGUCAAACUCGCCAAGCAUGGCGGUAUAUGUCCAGAGAGCUUAUUUCCAUUUAACCUUAUUCCGUACAUCAACUCCAAGUGGCAAAGAUCAUAGGGAAUGGAUCCUUCCAAAUUAUUGUCUUCAAGAGAUAAACCUUGUAGCUGCUGUAAUGUUCCUACAGAUGUUGGAAUAGUUCCGUUCAAGUCAUUGAAGUCGAGGGUUAAGAGGAUCAAGCCACGUAAAUUACCAAUUUCUUUAGGAAUGCUGCCCCCGAGUUUGCACUCGUAAGCAUAAAAGCUUUGAAGAGAAGCAGAGAAAUUUCCAAUUAAUGGUGGAAGGAUGCCACCUAAUGGAUUAGAAUCUAAGACUAAAUAGGAUAGCUUUCUACAAUUAGUCAAAGAAGAGAGAAAACUCCACUGAUCUGCUGAAGAUGAUUCUGUCGUCAAGUUAUUCGUUCGUAUGCUGAGCACGUUGAGGUGCCUCAAGUUGCCAAAUGUAUUUGGUAUAUGGCCUGAGAAUGAGUUAGAGCCCAAGUCUAGACCAAUGAGUUUGGAAGCAUUGGUAAGAGAGUCAGGAAUUGUCCCGAUAAGAUUAUUGAUCGCCAAGGUUAAAUACUCUAUGUUCGGAAGCGAGUGGCCUAUCGUUGAUGGUAGGCGGCCUGAGAAUUGGUUGCUGUGUAGAUUAAGGACUCUUAUGGUUGAAAUAUUGAAGAUCGCGGGUGGAAUGAGGCCACUUAAAUUAUUCGUACCAAGAGCAAGACUCUCCAAAUUUUGUAGAUUGCCAAUCUCGGUUGGAAUUUGAUCUGUCAUAUCGAUUAAACCAACAUUGAUGAGUUAUUGAAUUUUUUGCUAAACAUAAAUUUAAUUUCAAAAUUCAUGAAAAUCAAAAUUUCCCACAAAAUAUGUGUUAUUAGUUUUAUAAUAAUUUAGGGGGUAAUGAUAUUUCUACCCCAUGAUUUUUGUAAAACACACAUGCUUUUAGAAAAUUAUUACCGCAAGAUCACAUUAUUCUUAAAAAUUCAAAUUAAGAAGAAGUUUCUAGAAUUAAUCAAUUAAAUCCAUAUUAAUUUAUAUUUGAAACUUAUAUUCUUUUAUUAUAUUUAAGUACUAAGGUUGUUUUAACAUAAAUUUAAUUGACUAUUUUACCCUCCUAAGGUAAAAGUACUAAAAUCCUCAAAAAUUUACUUCAACUAAACUAACAAAAUGUAUUUAUGACCUAUGGGGCAUUAAAAAUAUUGAAUUUUAUUUUUAAAAUAUUAUAUUACAAAACAUAAAACUAUAUGCUAGAUACUAUAGUACAUGUUUCUUGGGGUAAUAUAGUCAUUUUACAUUAUAAGGAUGAAAUAGUCAAAUUAAACUUAACUUGAAGCACCCGUAAAUGCCAAAAAUUGUUAAAAGACCUAAGUCAUAAAAGAAAAUUAUUAUCAGAAUAAUUUAUUUAGUUAAUUAUCUGACUUAUUGUUAAUUUAUAAUUUUAUAAGCUAUUGUGAACUUAUUGCAAUUAUCUAAUGGAGAUGAGGGGGGGUUUUGCAAGAAUAUGAGCGGCAGUAUUGCCACUCUAUAAAAUAAAAAGAAUUAUGCAGUCAUGCAAAUGCAAAUAUGCUGAACUUACCUUGCAGGUUGUUAUGACGAAGAUCCAAAUCAAAAAGGUUGCUCAAAUUUCCUAUCCCUGAAGGAAUAUUUCCAUCAAUAACGUUGAAACUUGCUUGUAACAUCUCCAAUUUCGAUAAGUUGAAGAGAGAAUUUGGGAUUGGACCCGUGAUAUUGUUAUUACGAAGACUCAUUAUUUGUAAUUUGGAUAAGACACCAAUCCAAGUUGGAAUGCUUCCACUCAAUUUAUUGAAACUGAAACUAAUGAAUUUGAGUCGGCCUAAUUUCCCCAAUUCAUUAGGUAGAUGGCCAUAAAAAUUGUUCAAAGUAACAUCAAGAGACAUUAGGAAUGAGAGAUUUCCCAGGUGUGGGGGAAUAGUGCCUCCGAGACCCAUGCCUGAAAGAUUUAAAGCCUUGACUCUUUGAUGGCGUGAAUCACAAGAAAUACCAACCCAGCUGCAUAUUGGAUGAGAUAUAGACCAAUUAUUUGCUAGGACACUCCGAUAAUCACCGACGUGGGCUUUGAAUGCAAGAAGAGCUGAUUGAUCUGUUAAAUUGUUUAAAGUCGUCGUAGCUAAGUUAGCUAUGGAAUAUUGUAACAACAUAGGAACAAAGAAGAACGAUAGGCGCAUAUUGGUCGUUUUUAAUAGAUACAGCAACAUAAUUGCUAGGUGAGAUUGAAACAAGUUUGAAGUGAAGGAAAUUAGCAUAUACUUAUACAAGAGACAUGAAUUUGAAAACAAGAAAAGAAAAAAUAUACAGGAGACUUGCAAACUGUUAUAUUUUGUCAUUAAGCGAGUCGUCCAAGUAAACGCACGUAUGGACUUGCAAAUUGUUAAACGUCGCUGUACUUGAACCGUAAACAAAGGGUGUGUUUGGUUGGAGGAUUAAAAGUGGGGAUUAGACACUUUUUUUUUUUUUUAAAUUUUAUCCUUAUCUCAUGUUUGGUGCUGUCAAGGGUAUUAGGAUUUAGUUAUCUUGAACUCACAAGCUAAUCUUAAUUUUGUAAAGGAAAUUAUCCCAAGAGGGGUCAUGGGAUUAGUUAGUAUUGGAUUAUAUUGAUAACUCAAUUAAACAUAAUAAUUUAUAAAUAUUAAAAUUAUAGUAAUAUGUGAUAAAUGUAAUAAAAAAAUAUUGAUUUUAAUAAUGUAAAUAAUAAAUUAUACUAAAAAUCAUUAUUAAUUUCACAUUAAAUUAAAAUUCUAUUUUACUUUAUUUAAUUAUUAAAUAUUUUUUAUAAUUCCAAAUUUACGUUAUAAAUUAAUUAUUAAAUUAGUAUUCAAAAAGAUAAAUUUUUAUAAAAUAAUAGAUUAUUGAAUAAAUAUCAUAUAAAUAUCAUAUACAUAUUUAACAAAAUAAUAAUUAUUUAAAUUAUGAUUUCUAUUUCUUUAACGUCAUUGAGGUUGAUUUGUAUAAUUAAUAAUACAAAAUUUUAGUUUAUAAUAAUAUUAAUAAUAAUAAUAACUUGUAAAUUGUAAUAUUAUAAUGUAAAACAUGAUUAUUUAUAGUCCAAUCUAAUAUUGUACCAAACACAAUAUAGUAUUAUAUAUAAUCCACUAUUAUUCAAUCCAAUUCAAUUUUAUCCAAUUUAAUCUAAUCUAAUUCAAUCAAAUCCGGCGGACCAAACCAGCCCAAAGGGUUUAUGGCCCUUUACUUACCAAACAGAAAAAGAUGCUCAACAUUGACAUCUUUGACCCAAUCCAAAUCUAAUCCAUACAUCUGCGGAUCAGAUGCAGAUUUAACCUAAUCCAUAUCCAAUCCACCAUUUUACGGAUUGGUUUGUAGACUGAAAAAUAUUAUAAGAAUAAUUUAUUAAUUGUUCAGACUUAAUUUAUAAUUCUAUAAGAUAAUGUGAACUUAUUAUAACUAUCUUAUCAAAAUGAGGUGGGAUUGCAAGAAUAAUGAGUAGAAAUAUCCCCAACCGAUAAAAUAAAAAGAAUUUUACAGCUAUACAAAUGCAAAUAUGUAGAACGUACCUUGUAGGUUGUUAUAAGCUAGAUUCAGAUACAAAAGAUUGCUAAAAUUUCCUAUCGCUGAAGGAAUAUUUCCAUCAAUGACGUUGUACGUUGCGUGUAACGCCUUCAGCCUCGAUUAAUUGAAGAGAGAAUUUGGGAUUGGACCCGUGAAACUGUUAUUACGAAGACUCAACACUUGUAAUUUGGAUAAGACGCCAAUCCAUGUUGCAAUGCUCCCACUCAAUUUAUUGAAAGUGAAACUAAUGAAUAUGAGUCGGCGUAAUUGCCCCAAUUCAUUAGGUAGAUUGCCAAGAAAAUUGUUCAGGCUAACAUCAAGAGAUUCAAAUGAAUUUUUGAUGGCGCGAACCGCAAGAAAUGCCAAUCCAGGUACACAUUGGAUAAGAUAUAGACCAAUUAUUUGUCAGGAUACUUCGAUAAUCAACGACACGGGCUUUGCAUGCAAGAAGAGCCGAUUGAUCGGUUGUUAAGAUGCAAUAGUGAGUAGUGAAAGUGGUUUGAGGUGGAGAUGCACCGGGAUCUACGGCCAUCCUGAGUUCAGCCAGAAGCAUAAUACUUGGACUCUCAUGAAAAGGUUAGCCAGCCUAUUUUCCUAUCCUUGGUGCUGUUUUGGUGAUUUUCAAUGAGAUAAUGCAUAUGCAUGAGAAAAACGGGGGCAAUGAGAGAAACCUGAAUAGGGUUGCCGAGUUUAGGGAAGCUGUGCAAAGCUGCAAUUUGCAGGAUAUGGGGUGUAAGGGAUAUCCCUAUACGUGGUCAAACAAAAGAUACAGAGAUCAUUUUAUUGAUGAGAGAUUGGACCGUUUUCUGUGUAGUAAAGAUUGGGGGAUUAAUUUUCAAGAAUCUGUAGGCACAAAUCUAGUGAACUGGUCUUCGGACCACUGCCCAAUCAUUCUAGAUUUCCAUGAGCGAAGCCAAAAUUCGAGACAUGCGGGCAAAUCUCUCCCCCGAGAUUAUUAUGAGGAUAUGUGGAGCUCCCACGAAGGCUGUAGGAGUAUAGUCCAGGAAGAGUGGAGCCGGUAUGGGGCUAGAGCUUGGGAAGCCCCUGUUCAGCAAUUUCAAUGAAUAGCCAAAUCUUCCUUGGCCCAGCUAAAACUUUAGAGCAAAACCGAAUUUCAUGGUAGGCAAAGAAAGUAAGAAAAGCUUAUGCAGAGCCUCCAGGAUGCUAUGAGAGGGAAUUCAAAGCUGGAUGAUGGCCAGGAAAUUAGGAGAUUGGAAAGUCAGAUUAACUCUAUGCUAGUUGAUGAGGAGAUUUACUAGAAACAGCGUUCGAGGGCCGACUGGCUUAGAGAAGGGGAUAAGAACACGAAGUAUUUUCACGCCAAAGCAUCUGCCCGCAAAAGGAAGAACAAGGUGUGGGGGAUUGAGAAUGACCAGGGCAUUUGGUUGAAGGAAAGGGAUGAAAUAGAGGAGGAGAUUUGCAGCCAUUUCCAAAAGCUUUUCACUACUUCCAGCCCGACUCCAAGCCAAAUCCAAGCAACCCUUCAAGGCAUGACAACAAAAGUAACUCCGGAGAUGAAUGUUCAGCUGGAGAAGCCGUUCACCGCUGAAGAUGUUGAGGAAGCCCUUGCCAACAUGUGUCCCACAAAGGCCCCAGGGCCUGAUGGUCUUCCAGCUGCCUUCUUCCAGAAGCAUUGGAAAUCUGUCCGUAACAGAGUGAUCUCAACGUGCCUUAAUGUCCUUAAUGAGCAAGGUAACCCAUCUACCCUCAAUCACACCUUUAUAGCUUUGAUUCCAAAAAUUGCAAAUCCUAGGAAAGUGAGUGAUUAUAGACCUAUCAGCCUCUGUAAUGUUAUUUAUAGAGUUGUAGCUAAGGCCAUUGCAAAUAGAAUGAAGCCGAUCUUUUCCCAAAUCAUCUCCCCUAUGCAAAGUGCAUUCAUCCCCAAUAGGCUCAUUACCGACAAUGUUAUUAUUGGUUAUGAAUGCCUUCAUAAAAUUAGGCAUAGCAAAGGGAAGAAGAACGGACUUGUAGCUUUAAAAUUGGAUAUAAGUAAGGCUUAUGAUAGAGUUGAGUGGCCUUUUUUGGAACAAACUAUGCUAAAGAUGGGGUUUCCUAGUAAUUGGGUAGCUCUGAUAAUGAGAUGUGUUAUUUCCACUUCAUUCUCGGUGCUAAUUAAUGGUGUGCCAAAAGGAAUGAUCCAGCCAAAAAGAGGCUUGCGACAGGGCUGCCCGCUAUCCCCGUACCUUUUUAUCCUUUGUGCAGAGGCUCUCUCCAAUUUGCUGGUUGUGGCAGAACAGAACCAGCUAAUCCAAGGGCUCAAAUUUGCGCGGGAAGUUUCAAUUACGCACUUGCUGUUUGCGGACGAUAGCUUGGUAUUCUCUCGUGCAUCAGUGGCUGAAUGCAGGCAUUUAAAAGAAAUGUUUGAUAAAUAUGCUGCAGCAUCAGGGCAGAUUUUUAAUUUUCAGAAAUCCUCACUGUUCUUCAGUGGAAAAAUUCCAGAGCAUCAACGGGCUGCUAUAAGGGGUAUCUUUAAUCUAAAUGUAGUCUCAAAGCAUGAGAAAUACCUUGGCCUACCAUCAAUGAUUGGGAGAAAGAAGAUGGGGUUCUGUAACGACAUCAAGCUGAAAGUGUUGAACAAGAUUGCAGGAUGGCAGCAUAAAAUGUUGUCUAGUGGGGGGAAGGAAGUUCUGAUCAAAGCGGCAGCCCAAGCAAUUCCGGCGUAUGCAAUGAGUGUUUUCAAGCUCCCAAGAGGCUUUUGUGAUGAUAUUCAGCGAGCUAUAGCGAAGUUCUGGUGGGGCUCGAAAGGGGAUAAGCACGGAAUCCAUUGGCGAAAAUGGGAGAAGCUCAGCCAGGCAAAGAUUAGAGGGGGGCGGGGAUUUCGAGAGUUUUCUUGCUUCAAUCAAGCGCUGGUAGCUAAGCAAGCUUGGAGGUUACUGCAGUACCCAAAUUCGCUGGUCUCCAAAGUCCUUCAAGCAAGAUAUUUCAGGAAUUCCAGCUUUUUAUGUGCAAAGGCAGGAGCCAAUGCCUCGUAUAUUUGGAGAAGCAUCAUGUGGGGUAGGCAGGUGAUUAAGAAGGGUAUGAGAUGGCAGAUAGGUAAUGGCAAGAAGGUAGCAAUUUUCUCGGAUAACUGGCUGCCAAGACCAGAGACCUUCAGACCUAUCUUCCCUCCAUCUUUGCCCGUAAGCUCAGUUGUUGCAGAUUUAAUUAAGGCUGAUAAUCAAUGGGAUGAAAUAAAGCUUCGACAGCACUUCAUGGAUGUAGACACAGCAGAGAUCCUCAAGAUUCCCCUCCCAACUGAGAAAGAAGAAGAUGGAGUGCUUUGGGAUUACGACAAAAGAGGGAACUACUCUGUCAAGAGUGGGUAUCAGCUAGCAUUGAGAUCAAAAUUUCCAGAUUCCACCAGCUGCACAGAGGCUUCCCACAAGUACUGGAGUGCCCUUUGGACACUGGAGUUGCCUGCGAAGCUUAAAAUUUUCAUGUGGAGGGCCUCUAAUAAUCUGCUUCCAUCGGUGGAAAAUCUGUGGAAAAGGAAGGUAGUGGAGGAGCCAACUUGUAAGCGAUGCAAACUGAGUGUUGAGACUAUCAGCCAUGCUCUCUUGGAGUGUAAGGUAGCGAGAAAAAUUUGGCUCCAAUCCCCCUUUUCAGGCCUUAGAUUAGAAGCCAAUUCUCAGGACAUUUUCAGCACUUUGCAAAAUAUGGCUAAGGAGAUGAGGAAAUCAGAUCUGGAAUUAAUGGUAGCUCUGUGUUGGUCUGCCUGGUAUGCUAGGAACAAAUGUAUCUUCGAUGGCAGGGAGAUUAAUCCUAUUAUAUCAGCUGCUAAAGCGGAGUCUGUUUUGUCAGCUUUUCAGAGAGUUAGGAAGCCCCAGCAAGCUCACAUCUCUAUCUUCAUAAAAGAGAAGCAGCAGGAGUGGCUCCCCCCUCCCCCGAAUGUUUUUAAAGUUAAUGUGGAUGCUGCUCUUAAUUCAAAGAAUCUGAGUGCAGGAGUGGGAACUGUGAUUAGAGACUCUAAUGGAAAGAUAGUUGCGGCUGGGGUAAAUCAGAACCUCCUAAAGGGGUCAGCUAGCUUGGCUGAAGCAGAGGCGGUGCUUUGGGGCCUUCAGCUGGCGAGAAAGGCGGAUGUAUCCUCUUUGAUUAUUGAGUCUGAUUGUUUAGAGGUGGUCCAGCUAGUGAACAACACCAAGGGCAGCAGAUCAGAAAUUUUUUGGACAAUUCUGGCAAUCCAAAACCAGAUGAAGAACUUCCAGAAAGUGGUUGUCAAUCACAUUCCAAGACAUUGUAAUGCUUGUGCCCAUUACCUAGCUAAGAUAGCUUUGGGGAAAAUCUCUCCCUGUAUGUGGCUGGGAAAUAUUCCAGCUGAAUUGUAUGGUAUUAUCAAGGUGUUGUGAUUAAUGAAAGGUUUACUUUCUUUUCAAAAAAAAGAAGAAUGAUAAGCGCAUAUUGGUCUUUUUUUUUAGAUGCGUCCAUCUAAUUGCUAAGUGAAGUUGAUACAAGUUUUAAGUGAAGGAAAUUAGCAUAUGCAUAUACAAGAGGCGUAUGAAUUUUGAUAACAAGAAAAGAAAACAAUAUACAGGAGAGUGGAGGCUUGCAAAUUGUUAUAUUUCAUUAUUUAGCGAGUCGUCCGAGUAAACGCGUAUAGACUUUUAAAUUGUUAUACGCCGCCGUACUUGAACCGUGAAUAAAGGGCUUAUGGCACUUGAGUUACCAAAAAGAAGAAGAUGCUCAACAUUGGCAAGGCCUAUGCAUUCUGUCCAUUUGUUCACGUUUUGCCGAGGCUCAUGGCAACCACAAUAUGUUCUUUUUCUUUCCUCUAAAAAACAAAAAGACGACCUUCACAUUUGGGCUAAUAAUUAUCACUAAACAAUUAAUAAUGCUGAGGGCUAGUGGUAAUGUAGCUUUAAAAUAAUUGUUAUUAGUUGCGCCUUAAAAAUAAAGAAAUAAAGAUAGUUAUACUAUACCCCCACAAUUUAAUAAAAUAAUCAUGUAAAUUUCUAAACUUUUAACAAUAUACACCAAGACCCCUUAUGUUACUUUUUACCAUUUAUUUGGAUGUCACAUGCUUUUUUUUUUUUUUUUUUAAAUUUUUCACUGCAGAAAUUAAAUGCUAAAUUUACUGUUAUUCCCAUAUCAUGUCAUCGCUUGCUUCUACACAUAUUGAUUGUUUUUCCAAAGUUUAAAAUUGAAUUAAAAACAUUCUAAUUAACCUAAAAAUUAAAAAAAAAACUCAUCCAACCAGAUAUAAAUCUUCUAAUUAACCUAAAGAUAAGCUACACCCCCAUAUUAAUUCCAAUUAAAUAAAUCUUCAUUUUUGUCAUGGUUUUGGAUCUCGAGCAGGGUGGAUACAUCCAACCAGAUCCGCCCCAUUGGCAUUCCAAUAUAUUAUGGAAUUGGAAGAGUAUCAAUGACUUAAUUUGUAAUUUUAAAUUUGUAACGUAUAAUUCUAAUUUAAGGAUUCAAAUUAAUUUAUGCGGAUCUAAAAGGGGACUGAUGAUGGGCAUGCAUACAUACAUGCAUACAUAUAUUUACAUAGAGAGAGAGAGAGUGAGGUAAUAUAACAUUCUUCUUGAUGAAGAUUUUUGUGCCAUACGCAUUAAAGAGAGUAUUGUGUCGAUGUUGGAGGCUAGAGGGACAAGUGGUUACAUUGCUUCAGAGGUGUUUAGUAGAAACUUUGGUGAGGCAUCACAUAAUUUAAACUACUAGAUUUAGCGAGAUAUAUAUAUUUUCCACAUUGGAUUUACAAGCAUUUGGAGCAGGAUAAUGAAUUUAAAUUACUCGGAAUUGUAAACAGCGGAAAGUGAAAUUGCUAAGAAGAUGAAUAUUGUUGUUUUGUGGUGUAUACGGACUCGUCCAUCGGAUAGGUCGCCCAUGAACAGAGUGAUAGAAAUGUUAUUGCAAAGAAGCAGACUGACUAGCAGUGACGCUUUGAAUAAAUCCACCAAACAUCUUCUCCUACAAGACCACCAAUAUAUUCUUCCACCAUUCAACGUCGUGAUGUGGGGAUCAGAAUUGAAUUAUAGGAUGCUUGUAAGUUUCCUUUGUGGAACUUGUGAAUUUGUGAUGGCAAAAGUCAAUGAUGCAUGUAACUAGCCGGCCCGUGUAGAGGCCGUUUGACUCAUAAAUAUUUGUCACUUUCACUCUUUUUCAAAACCCAAAAGCACGCUAAAGCUUAAUCUAAAAAGAAUUUUUGAUUUAGUGCUGACAUUUUGGGCUCACCUUUGAGUAAUGUUUUACCACGCAUGCAUUUAUGUCAUUGUGCGGUCAUCCUUUACUUCUAAAGAUCGUAAUCUUUAAGAAAAAAUUACUUCUUUUGAAAGUGAAAGCAGGCCAGCUAUUGGCGUAUUGCAUUGAAGCUGCUAUGUGUAGUAGUCAAUUCUUGGAAAGAACUAGUUUUCUUAAAUUGUAAAUGGUCCCCUUUAUGACUGGGAGAUUUUGAACAAAAUUAAUAUGAUGAAUUCUUAGCAAGUGUUGUUCCUUGAAGUCUCAUCUUUCACAAUGUUUUUGAAAUAAAGAUAUUACCAUCUCUGACUAAAGAUUUACUCUUGAUUUGGACCACCUAAUCUGAACUUGAUGGAUGAUUAUGAUCUUGCCUAAUUUUAUGGAUGUGGUCUUAUCUCACGUAAGUCAGUAAUGAAUUAAUUAAAGUUUACUGUCAAAUUAUGAACUGAAAAACUGCUGCUACUUCAUUAUUCACAAUGCCCAAAUUCAGUGCAGAACUGAUUAUAAGUUUUCCGAAAGUUUUACGCUUUCUUUCCCCCAAAUCCCAAGUACUUCCUGUAAUAUCAUUCCCCUAUAGAUGUCUUCCCCUGAGACAUUUUUAACUUUGGUUCAGGGUAACAAAGCUAUAGCUUUUCCUGUCGUGUGCAACAAGCUAUUAAAUUAGAGUAUUUAUUUCUGUAUUACUACUAGUAGUAAGAGAGGCGAAAUGGAAUCUUGAAUUCAUGUUUAUACAACAGUUUGUUUAUAAAUAAAUGAGUUGAUAACAAGUCAUUUUAAAUAUUUGCAAAAAAAAAAACGGUGAGUGAUGUCUAGUUCUAUUUUCAAUGUUCAGAGUCGAAUUUUGAUUACUGAAAAUUUUAAUUUAUGAAGUUGAACUAAGAAUUUGUUAUAAUAUAUUCCACCUUCCUAUACAGUCAUCUGGAAUAAUAAUAUAUCAAAAACAGUAAUAACUUGAUUUACAGGGUGAGAAAGAAAAGAAAGACGCUACGAGGGAAGCAGAGAUUCAAAGACUUCGCUACUUUGUUGGAGGAACAAUUUCAUAAAUCUCCAGAAUAUUGACAUAAAACACAGAACAUAUCUAGCAUUAAGUAUAUUUAUGUAUGUCCAAAGAUAAAAAUUCGAAGAUUAGAUUUAUCAUUUCAAUUUAUGUUCCGCCCAAAGCAAUGGCUUUUAUUCCACAAGCACAAACAAGAAAGAGUACACAAAGUUAACAAACACACAUGUUGAUGCGAGAUUCUGGUUGUCCUCGUUCUACGACCAGGGUCUCUGCUCGAUCAACUUCACCACGACCAGGAUCUCUCCUCGUAAAGCUUCUUCUCCAGAGGUUCCUGCGCACACAGACAGGUCAGAGUACGCCGGUUUUUUUCCCGGCGCAAACCCUCCAACGCUCAAGUCAGAAAUAGGGGUUCUGGGAAUGUUUGCCACGAAUCUUAUGGCUUCUUUUUAAUCUCAGUUCUCGGAACUUUCUUUUCUUAGUUCUAAUAGCAAAAAGUCUAACCCUUUUACCUUUGCUGGCUACUUUUUUAUAGGCUUCCUCUGAAUCCCGGUCUUCCGUAGUCCACGCCCAUUACUCUUCCCACCCUCGGAUGUGGAUGCCCCAUUGUCGUCAUUGUGGGCGAAUGGAGAUGGACUUCGUGCCUUGAUUCUCGGAUAGGAACGCACGUCUUGCCAACUGUCGUUGACCGGGUCUCCUCGCCUCGACCCCUAGCAGGAAUGGCCUUAUGCCUCUAACAGGAGUUCGUCCUCGUGAAUGGCAUAUUUGUGGACGAGCAGAAUAUUCCUGCUCCUGUUCCCUUGCUACCAGGCUCUUACAGGACAUACCUGUUCGCAGAACUCUGCCACCAAAUAUAUGCUCAUCAUGUCUGGUCUCGUCGAAGUAUUUCCCUCAAACACCGGUCCCCCAGUUUCUGGUGUUGGGUAAUGUAAUGGACCAGCAGUAGAAACUCAACAGUUCUUGCUCGCGUGAGACUUGAAAAGGCUGCCAAGAGUCGUGUCGCAUUUAAUUGCGGAUGCAGUGAUGUGGCAGAAAUCUACCCCUUCGUUUGAAUUUCAAACCUACGGUUGCAAGAUUCUCAGAAUCUGCGUCAUUAAAUGCUGGCAGCCCAAAAGUUUGCUUCUCAGUAAGAAAACCCAAAAUCCUCAAACACGAACUCGUCAUUUUCUCCAUUCCUGUCUCUCCGGCUAAUGAACCUCGGCAUUAAAGCUUUCAUCCCUGUCUCUCUCUGAGCGAGUCCCUGCUUCAGGUAUUUCUUCUAUCUUCACGGUCUCGGUUAGUUGUAGAUAAUUUCUUUUCUCUUUGCUUUGCUUGGGGUAGUAUCUGGUAGUGGUGUUUUGGUUAUAACCUAGGGAAUGUCGAAGGGUAAGGAGAAAGUCGUUGAUAUUGAUGACGACGAACUAGGUUUCUUGCCUAGUCUGCUCACUGAUUCUGCUUUUGGCCCCGGGAUCCCCUUAGAGCCCACUAGGUCUAGUGUUGGGACUAGCGCUAGGAGGAUGUCCCCCCAAACAACCUCCACGAGCGGAAGUAGUGGCGAGGAGGGACCUUCUGGCUCGGAAGACACCCUAAGUGAGGAUCAAUGAGGUGACUCUGGUGAGGGAUCUUCACCGGGAACACUGCGACCAGAAGGGUGUAGUACAGUAGGAGGUAGAGCCUUGUCGCGGGAUUAUGCUAUUGAUUACAUGACCUGCACGACCACAUUCAACGAGCUGGAUGACCUCCGGCUCAGGUAUCAUAUUCCUGGUGAGGUACUCCUUAGGAUCCCAGGAAAGAAAGAUAGUCUUAGCAGGCCUCCUAGGGGAUUUGUCACCUUGUUCUUGGAGAGUUUUAAGUACGGGCUAAGGUGCCCCUUGCAACUCUAUUUUGCUCGCAUACUCCACGGGCUCAAUCUAGCUCCUGGUCAGUUGAACCCCAAUGGGUGGAGGGUGCUCUUUGGUCUGUUCAUAUUGUGGGACAGAUGUUGCCAAAGCGAGCCCACGGUUGAUGAGGUGAAGCACCUGUACCAGCUAAGGAGUAGCCCCAAAGAUGCCGGCUGGUACUACUUCCAAUCUAGUACCAAGAGUAGGAAACCCAUAACUGAUCUUCCAACUGGUGGUGGUGGGACUUGGAAGAGGAAAUUCUUUUUUGCUGGGGGUCCUUGAGGUCAAGUUGCACAAAUAGACGGGAAGGAUUGUCGCGUCCCACCCCGUUUCACGGUCCCAGGUUGCCUGCUCACUUUAGAUGUCUUGUAUCCAUAAUUGUUCUUACUUUAUUGGUUUGUCUCUAACCAAGUGUCUGUUUGUGUUGUAGUUUCUUGGGGUGUUCAUUUUCCGCUCAAACCUGAUCAGCUCAAACGGGUCGAGGCUGUACUAGCCAACUCCUGCCCGAGCCGAGAACUGAUAACUAUUUAUAACUUCCUCGAGUCUCGCUUGGUACUCCCUGGCCAUAAGAUGGAGGACGCUGUGAUUGGGGCUCUGAACAGGAAACGUUCUCGACCUCAAAACACGAAGAGGGACCAGAACAAGGACGCCCCUAGGGCAAAGCGGACCAACAUCGUGCAGCAAGUCUCUCCCUUGAAGACUUUACCUCCUGCUCCUGCCAAAGUCAGCGAAACUAGUGGAGCAGCCACAGAUCCUGCUUCCUCUUCUCCUCCUGUCGGGCCUCGAUCUCGCUUUCCUGACAGCCGAGCAGAACACUUGGUCCCCUAUCUCAAUGAGUUAUCUAAACUCGUGAGCAAGAAGGACCUGGAGGACUUUAAUGGCUGCACCCUGGGCGAGCUGGUAGGAGCCAUGCAGUAUAGUGCUUUCCAUCUCAGCUGCAUGACCACCUAUUAUAAGGCUAAGGUUGGCCGUUAUGACAGGAAGAUGAAGGAGGACAUUCAAUCAGCGAUGACCAGAGCUGACGCCGCCGAGAAGAAAGCAGGAGAGCUAAAUGUCGAGAACCUGAAGCUGAUAGAGCAAGAAUCUCUUGCUCAAGCAAAAGCCAUUACCCUCGAGGAGGAGCUGACCAAGGUCAAGGAGGAUCUUCAAAGGCAGAAGGCAAUGUAUGAGGCUCAGCUCGAAUCUCUCCGCGAUUCCCAUCGAGCUCAGGUCGAGAACUUGGAGAAGGAGGCCGACAACCAGUACGACCAGGGACUUCGGCAUUCCUAUCGUUGCAUCAUGGCCGUCCUCGGGAAGCAGCAUCCUGAUCUAAAGAUGGACGACCUUGCAGCUGGUGUCGCCCAACAUAUGGACGAGGAGGCUGCAAAGGAGGAUGCCGAAGGGGUAGACGCAAUCGUGAUUGAGGAGGAAAACUCUCCUCCUCAUGUAGACCCUGCUGACGUUGGCGAGGCGAGCACCCCCCCGGACGCAACUGGUGAUACCCCCCCUGCACCUGAGGAGGUCCAGCCAACCGAUGCUGCUCGGCAUACUGAUCCGCCAUCUUCUUGAACUUAUCUUGUGCUGUAAUUGCUUUUUGAAUAUUCUAUAUAACAGCUUUGUAAACUUUUAAGAGCUUAAUAAGAUUGUUCUUAUUUGCUUCCUCGCAUUGGUAUUUUAAUUUAUUUAUCUAUUUGGCUUCUGUCCUCGUCACAGAGGAGGCCUUGAAGUUUGACGAGCCUUUGCCUGUCUUGGAUAAUUUCUUCAAUGAUUGGGAUUCUGCUCGCCUUCGCGUGGUCGAGCAGAUCCUGGCACGCUUGGCUUUUGGUCUCGCCAUAAACAGGCUUUGAGACUCGACGAGCCUUUGCAUGCCUUAGUUUCUUCAAGGAUUGGGAUUCUGCUCGCCUUCGUGUGGUCGAGCAGAUCCUGGCACGCUUGGCUUCUGGUCUCGCCAUAAACAGGCUUUGAGACUUGACGAGCCUUUGCAUGCCUUAGUUUCUUCAAGGAUUGGGAUUCUGCUCGCCUUCGCGUGGUCGAACAGAUCCUGGCACGCUUGGCUUCUGGUCUCGCCAUAAACAGGCUUUGAGACUCGACGAGCCUUUGCAUGCCUUAGUUUCUUCAAGGAUUGGGAUUCUGCUCGCCUUCGCGUGGUCGAGCAGAUCCUGGCACGCUUGGCUUCUGGUCUCGCCAUAAACAGGCUUUGAGACUUGACGAGCCUUUGCAUGCCUUAGUUUCUUCAAGGAUUGGGAUUCUGCUCGCCUUCGCGUGGUCGAGCAGAUCCUGGCACGCUUGGCUUCUGGUCUCGCCAUAAACAGGCUUUGAGACUUGACGAGCGUUUACAUGCCUUCAAUUCUUCAAGGAUUGGGAUUCUGCUCGCCUUCGCAUGGUCGAGCAGAUCUUGGCACGCUUGGCUUCUGGUCUCGCCAUAAACAGGCUUUGAGACUUGACGAGCCUUUGCAUGCCUUCAAUUCUUCAAGGAUUGGGAUUCUGCUCACCUUCGCGUGGUCGAGCAGAUCCUGGCACGCUUGGCUUCUGGUCUCGCCAUAAACAGGCUUUGAGACUUGACGAGCCUUUGCAUGCCUUCAAUUCUUCAAGGAUUGGGAUUCUGCUCGCCUUCGCGUGGUCGAGCAGAUCCUGGCACGCUUGGCUUCUGGUCCCGCCAUAAACAAGCUUUGAGACUUGGUGAGCCUUUGCAUGCCUUUGAUAAUUUCUGGAAAGCUUAGGAUUCUGCUCACCUUCUCGUGGUCGAGCAGAUCCUGGCACGCUUGGCUUCUGGUCUCGCCAUAAACAGGCUUUGAGACUUGGUAAGCCUUUGCAUGCCUUUGAUAAUUUCUUGAACAGUGUAGUUGAUUCAAACUCCUCAUUGAUUCAUUUAUUAUUGAAUUCGGCUUACAUGAGGUUGCUUUGAAAUAAGAAAUAAAAAAAUAGAAAACAACAGACAUGAACAGAAAAAAAACUUUAAAACAUGAGUAAGUCUUACUAGAAAUAUUUCCUGAGGUGUGCCGCGCUCUAGGGGCGUUUCACCUCGUGGCCCUCCGUGCGAACCAACUUGUAAACUCUGGGUCCAACUAGCUGCCAUUCCUGGCUUCCACUCGGGUAUCAAAGGAUGUUAUCUGCAUUGCUUCCUUUGUUGCCGAGGAGUAACAGCUUCGUGCGAUUCUCUGGUCUCCUCGUACCACUCCAACUACCCCAUUCACCCGGUACUUGAGAGCCAGAUAAUGGUUGGACAGCACCGCUUUGCUCAUCCUCAGAAAUGGCCGGCCUAGGAUCAUCUGAUAAGGACCUUCCUCAUCCACUACCACAAAGUCCAGUAUCAUUGUCCUUUCUGUCGGGGAGCUCCCAAUCGUGAUAAGUAGCUCGACCACGCCCAGAGGGACCAACUUUCCUCCUCCAAACCCCUUCAAGGAGGUAUUGGUGUAAUCCAACUUCAGGUCUGCUAUUCCCAUUUCCUCCAGGGUUGACUUAAACAACACAUCAACUGAGCUCCCUGUGUCAACCAGUAUCCUGUCAAACUUCUUGCUGGCAACAGUGGCCUUGAUGACCAAAGCAUCCUCGUGGGGGUAUAGAAUCCCUUCUUCAUCCUCAUCUGUCCACAUGAUUGGCACUUGCCUGACUCUUGCACAUUUGGCUGCUGGGGUGUUGAAGAAUACAUCUUUGCUGGUCAUGGCGUAUCUAGCGUAAUUCUUCCUCGACCUGUUGGAAUCUCCGGCCAAUGUUGGGCCCCCAGCUAUCACCCUUAGUGCAGGAUGCUCGCGCCUCAGGUUUCUAUCACUCUGCUCCCCUUCAUAUGUCGAGGCCACCAUCGGGAAAGUCCCAUCUACAAACUCGUCCAGGUACCGAUUUCUCACCAAAUCUUCAACCUGGGUCUUGAGAUCUCUGCAUUCUGCGGUGGUAUGGCCAUGAGUGCCAUGGAACUUACAAUGGCGUCCCCUAUCCCUCCUGCCGGGUAGCUUUGUUAUUGGGGCAGGGAGGUACAGCAGUCCUCGGUCCUUUAUGGCCUCGUAUACUUCAUCUAGGGACAUCUUCAAGGACGUGUAUCGCCCAUACUCCUGGUUCUGGUCGAUCAGGUGCACGGCCCUUUCUCUAUUUGCUCCGUUCUGAGUUGGAGGCGAUGACAGCAUUUCUGGUCUGCUCCCUCUACUACCGUGGGAGUGUUGAUGAAGACCACCAUAUGUCGAAUCAUGCCUUCUCCAAGGCUCCCUAGCUGGGGAACGAGGAGGGUGCGCCCUGCUGCGCUGAUACUGUGGUGGCCUCUGAUGAGGCUGGUGAGCUGUUACCCGACCUCCUGCUCCACUACCUGAGGCCUGGAGGUCCCUCCUCCUGAUCGGCCAAUUUCCCAGUAAUGCCCUCUUUUCUUUCUUUUCCAACCCCUCCAGCUGGUCUGUCUUAAUCCGAGCUGCCUUUUCUUCCUCGAUCUCUAUGUCUCUUUUAGCUUGCUCGUAUGCGGCUGCAUACGUCUGAAUAGCUGGGCUUCUCAAGUUGUACCACAGCCUUCCUAUCUUCACUCCCUCUUUCAAUCCCCUUAGUGCCUGAGGAUGGUCGAAGGCUCCCAAAUCGAGGACAGCACGAUGAAACCUCUUGAUGAAUUCCCGAAGAGUUUCUUGUUCCCCUUGCUUCAUGCUUUUCAACUCCAUCAUGUCAUCUUCUAGUGCCAUUGCCCCACGAAACUGCUCUGCAAACUCCUGGCACAUCUGCUCGAAGGUUUUAAUGCUCCUCCCCCGAGGAAGUUUUCUGUACCACUCUCGUGCACGUCCCUCAAGGGAUAGUGGGAACACCCUGCCUGCACCUUUGGGAUUGAGAUAAUCCUUGUACCCCAAUUAUGUCGUUGAAGCGCUCUAUGUGCACCAGCGGAUCUGUUCGUCCCGAAUAUCUAAGGUCUGGGAGGCGGAAAUCUCUCGGAAUAACUGCCCUCAUGAUCUCUGCUGCGAGCGGUGAUUCUCCAUCUAGCAUUAUCCUCCAACCAGGAGCUCUGCUCCUUCCUUGCAUGUCGUCAAUUAUCUGCGCUAGUCUGCGCACUUCCUCCUCCAGCUGCACUGCACGACCAGGGUCACGUGCUGCAACUUGAUCCCGCUCUUGCUCUACAUCAAGCAAGUGUUGCCUCAACUCUGUUUCCUCUGCAUUUGCCACCCCGUCGUCCUCGUCAAAAAUCUGUCUUGCCGGGAAUUGCUCUUCCUCUCUACGGAAUUCUCCCCGCAGAGGUAUGUUACCUCUCUCACCACCAAAUCUCCCGGUGGUUUGACUUCUCCUCGUACUAUCGGGACCUAGUGCCACUCCACCAACUCUCAUCCUUUCCUCCUGGGUUACCCUUCGUUCACUCCGCAACUCAUGCAGGAUGGUUGUCAGGGUCUCCAUCUGCUUUUCCAUUCGUUCCAUUCGGUCGAACAUGGCUUUUUCCCGUGCUUCACUGGCUAUCUCCCUCAGAGUCACGGAAUCGUUAAGCCUCAUAUCACCCCCUUGUGCACUACUUCCUCCUGUCUCCAUUGCUUUUCACUUGCUUCACUCCUCUUCUUGCUAUCAACAGAAGCUUUUUGAUCAGCUCCCCACAGACGGCGCCAAAAUAUUGAUGCGAGAUUCUGGUUGUCCUCGUUCUACGACCAGGGUCUCUGCUCGAUCAACUUCACCACGACCAGGAUCUCUCCUCGUAAAGCUUCUUCUCCAGAGGUUCCUGCGCACACAGACAGGUCAGAGUACGCCGGUUGUUUUCCCGGCGCAAACCCUCCGACGCUCAAGUCAGAAAUAGGGGUUCUGGGAAUGUUUGCCACUAAUCUUAUGGCUUCUUUUUAAUCUCAGUUCUCGGAACUUUCUUUUCUUAGUUCUAAUAGCAAAAAGUCUAACCCUUUUACCUUCGCUGGCUACCUUUUUAUAGGCUUCCUUUGAAUCCCGGUCUUCCGUAGUCCACGCCCAUUAGUCUUCCCACCCUCGGAUGUGGAUGCCCCAUUGUCGUCAUUGUGGGCGAAUGGAGAUGGACUUCGUGCCUUGAUUCUCGGAUAGGAACGCACGUCUUGCCAACUGUCGUUGACCGGGUCUCCUCGCCUCGACCCCUAGCAGGAAUGGCCUUAUGCCUCUAACAGGAGUUCGUCCUCGUGAAUGGCAUAUUUGUGGACGAGCAGAAUAUUCCUGCUCCUGUUCCCUUGCUACCAGGCUCUUACAGGACAUACCUGUUCGCAGAACUCUGCCACCAAAUAUAUGCUCAUCAUGUCUGGUCUCGUCGAAGUAUUUCCCUCAAACAACACAUAGCAAACAUGACAUUAACUACUUGCAGCAGCAUCAUCCAGAAACUUCACUAUAAUCUUCUUGAGCUUUUCAGCGGCAUCUUUCGUAGAUGCCCUUUGUUUUGGUGACUCCAUGCAAAAAUCCAAUGCCGAAUGCAUGAUGCUUAAUAAACAAUUCAUUUUAUUAGUACAUUGGAUAUAAUCGAAGGCAGAGUAUAUUUCAGGACAAGUAGAGUAGCAUUCUUGGAUCCUUUGCUAUUAUCUUCUUUGCAAGGUGGGACUUGAGGUCCUGGUGGACAACAUACUGCAUAAUUCUAAAAAAAUUAUUGAGCUGAAAUGUUUUUAAAAGGUCUUUUGAUAGAAACUCCCCCUUCUAGCCUAUUGUGAGACACAUUAAGUUGUUUGAGAUAUAAGAGUGCCUCUAUUGACUUUGGAAUUUCUCCAGAGAAAUUGUUGCUUGGGAGAUCCAAAGAUUCCAACCUUAUCAAACUACCAAAUGAUUUGGGGAUUAGACCAUAAAAUUGGUUUCUAGCCAAGCUAGAUCUUUGGGGCCACCAAUAUUUACUGGCAUAUCACCUGAUAAUUGAUUUCUUGAUAAAUCUAACUCUAUUAAGACCCUUAAGUUUUGUAUAUCACUUGAUAAUUGUUUGUAUUGGGCCUUCUAUUUUCAUUAUAGAAUAAAUUAACUAUUAAUUUUCAUGAGAAAAAUACUUAUUUCCAUAAAAUUAUUCAAGCUUUUAAAAAGAUUUAGAAUUAAAAAUCAAACUUUGUACUGUAGAAAAUUUGCCGGUACGUUCAAUUAGUACUUUGUUUGAGGAAAUAAGAUUAGAAUAGGCUAUAGGUACGGUAGUUAUGCGGUACCUGUUUAAUAACCGUAGUAUAGUAAAUGUUUGACUUUUUUAUUAGAAAUAUAUCAUUAACAAUUUUGUUCGCUAAUUGAAUAGAGAAAGAAAGGGGGGGUGGGGGGGGGGGGAGGGCAAAAAGGUUAACACAUUUCGAAACUACAAACGAUUGCCUUUUCCUAUUAAUAAUGUUUGCGGAUUCUAACAAUUGAAUCUCAAGGUCAUUACAUAGUGAAUUUUAUAGUUAAUAAAAUUAAUAUUCCACAUACUAUCUACUCAAUUAAUGUCACAUUUUUUGAAACUUGAAUGAUCUAUUUGCUACAAUUAGGAGCCAACGUCGUAAUGAAUGUUAAAUUAUGCUGUUUGUUUUGAUUUACUUUUCUAUCUUAGCUCCAAGUGAUUAGCGGAAUGCUGGUCUUGUGAGUAUAAAAUGAACUCCUUAAGUCAAAUUCCUUCUGGGGUGUUGGAGAAAGAACUAAAUACAUGUAAUCUUGCUUUCGGAUAUGGAUUAUCUGAUGGAUGUUGUAUUUUCUAGGUAUUGAGGAGAUUCCUCAUUAUUGAAAAAUUACGUUCCCGAGCAUCAAAAGAUGAUCCCAUAGAAUUGCGUUCUCCUGUGACAAAAGAGGAGCUUGUAGCUGAGGUAUCGAUUUUUAUCUUUCUUGAUUGUUCUUUAUAGUUGUUUCUCAUCAAAAUAGAAAAAGCAGUUUGUUCUGAGUGACCUGUGCGGUCUACUAUCAAUCACUGCCAUUUCUAUCAUUUAGUACUAUUGACUGUGUGUAUAGAUAUUUUGUUUUUGCCAUGUAAUUUCAUGUUUGAUACAUUUCUAAUACAUUGCAUAGCGUUCAUGAACGAGAAUGAUAAACUAACUUUCAGGUGUGUUUAAGUAGAUGAAAAAACUUGGUACAAUUUAGAAGGAUUCACUAAUUUUCCAAUUUGUUUGUAUGGAGAAAUUGAAUAGUUAAUUGAUUAGAGGAUUGCAAAGUGGGUAGGUCCAGCUGGGCAUUGUCAAUAUUAACGAUCGAUGUUUUGAGAAGGUCUGGAGCUGACAUCACGGUUGCGUCUGUGGAGAAACAACUUCGUGUCGACGCGUGUCACGGUGUCAAGAUUGUCGCUGAUGCUCUCGUGUCUGACUGCCGCGACGCCGUUUUUGAUCUUAUAGCUCUUCCCGUAUGUAUUGCAGCUCACCUCAGCUCAUGCCAAUUUAUGUGAUGUUUGUAUAAUUAUAGAUGAUUAUUGCUGAUACUGAAUGUUAAGCUAAAUAAUUCGUUCUUAAGUCAUCUUCAUUUAAUUUUCGAUUGAAAAUGAAAAAAAUAAUAAUUGUAAGCAAAGAAAAAUAUCGAAAAUGUUUAUUUUGUUUUAAUUUUAUUUUUUAAUUUUUUGGGAUUUCCUUAUUGUGGCUGUUAUUAUUCAUUAUAUGGUCCUAGUUAAAUAUUUCAAGUUGUUGUAGUUAGUGAAUUUCUUUUCGAUAUUUAUUCUGGCAUGUAUAUUUUUUCUUUUCAAUUUCUUUUGUUGCUGAUUCUUUGAUUAUGUUAUAUCCUUUUUUGUUUCCCUUGUAGGGUGGCGUGCCUGGUGCUACCAAUCUGAAAGAAUCUGAAGUAUUAGAAAGCAUUGUGAAGAAGCAGGCUUCAGAUGGGCGUCUUAAUGCUGUUAUCUGUGCUUCACCUGCUGAGGCAUUAGGGUCUAGGGGUCUGUUGAAGGGAUUGAAGGUAAGAAUUAGAUAAACCUUUUUGAUGUUCUGUGGUCUUUUGGGAAUUGCACUGAUAUUUUUGUUAUAGUUCAGUUUUCUUCUCGCUGAUGAUUGUUAAGUUCUAAUUUAUGUAGUUGUUCAUUUUUCGUAGGCUACUUGUUAUCCGUCAUUUAUGGAGCAAUUAGCUCCUGCUUGUGCAACAACUGUUGAAUCAAGAGUACCACAGGAUGGUAAAGUUGUUACGAGUCGUGGACCCUGCACUACUAUGGAGUUUGCUGUUGCACUUGUUGAGCAGUUGUAUGGGAAAGAGAGAGCUGAUGAGGUUUCUGGGCCACUGGUAGUAACUUUUAUAGAUAAUGUUGUUUAAAAAAAUUGUGAGUUAUAUAAUUUGUUGAAAUUCAUUCUAAUAGGUUCAUCUGGUAUGUCAAAUUGGAAGGUUCAGAUGCUAAUGUAGUCCAAAAAAUUAGUUCAGGGGAAAAGUAUGACUUUUUGCAUUAGAGAUUUAUUAGAUGAAGUUGUAUACCUACUGGCCCAUCUUAAUAUGGUGAAAACGAUGUAAAAUCGGGAGAGGGGGUUCGGGGGAGAGGGGAAGCCCUCUCCAACCGCAAGGCCGUUAUUCUGACAUGAAUAGAGUAAGGCCUUUACUUUUAUAAAGAAAGGUCCCUGUUUUGCACGUCUCCACUGAUCACAUUCUUUUUAAUGUAAGUUCUUUCUCUUGGUAUUUGUCUUUGAUUUUUCUCUUCCUCAUGCUGUCGUCUGUCAAAAGAUUUGGCUGCAGCAUCUAGAAGUUUUGAAGAAGCAAAAUGGGUCACACGGCUUUGAAGUUCUAGAUGCCGUAAUGUUUGGUAAAAGUAAAAAAAAAUUCAAAGCUCAAAAAUUCAAAGUUCGAAAAACUGAAAUUUUUGAGCUGUAUGGCUUGUAAUUUUAUAGCCACUUUUUUGACUUUUAAGGAAAAGUUUUACCUAUAAAUACAAGCUCUCAAUUUAGAGCUUGCAUCCAAUUUUGUAAAGAGAGUCGAGAGCUGUGAAAAGCAAUUCUUGCAGAGCAGAGAGUUUGUAGAGCUUAAAUAAUAAAAGCUGUUGUUUUAAUGAUUUGAGAGUUUGGAUGUAUUGGGGUUUUGGGAAGUGAGCUAAAAUACUACAAUACUUGUAACUCCUUUUCACUAGUAAAAUAUUUUUCUUCUAUCUUCACCCAUGGACGUAGGUUAAAAGCCGAACCACGUAAUUUCCUGGUGUCCUCUUUGUGCUUCUUCUUGAUUUUUUUUUCCCAAUUUUACUUUAGUUGCGGCCCUGCUUCACCCGCCAAUUUCCUAACAGCGGUAUCAGAGCUAUUAGUUGUAUUAUUUGGAGUCGGGUACUAUUCACAUACGGUACUGUUCACAUAUACGGUACUAUUCAUGUAUACGUUACUAUUCACGUGAAACGGUGGGAGCAAUUCUAGUAUUGGCGAUGCAAAGCAGGGGAAUAGUGUGUGUGAGUGGAGUAAUUGUGUGGUUUUGGACAUGUGUAAGAAAGUUCUGUCACAAAGGCGAUAAGAGCCUAAGGAGUUAGGAUUUUAAGUGGGACUAUUGUGACCCCUCCAGUCUUUCCUGGGAACUUUCUUGGUGUGCUCUCACACAUACUCACAACUAUUCAAGCUGGUACACUAGUUUUGUACAAUAUUUAUCAACAAAAUGGUGGCAAAGUAUGAAAUUGAGAAGUUUAACGGAAAUAAUUUUUCGUUGUGGAAAAUGAAGAUGAAAGUUGUAUUGAAGAAAAAUAAUUGAUUGGCAGCAAUUAGAGAAAGGCCCAUGGAGAUAACUGAUGACAAGUGGAACAAGAUAUAUGGCAACGCCAUUUUUGAUCUACACUUGGCACUUACGGAUGAAGUAUUAUUCAGUGUGGCAGAGAAAACUACAGCGAAGGAAAUAUGGGAUACUCUCACAAAAUUGUACGAGACCAGGUCACUACACAACAAAAUCUUCUUAAAGAGGAAGCUCUAUACUCUUCGAAUGACGGAAUCUACAAUGGUGACCGACCACAUCAAUACCUUGAAGACUCUAUUUUCACAACUCACAACGUUAGGUCAUAAUAUAGAGGAAAAUGAACAUGCAGAGCUUCUACUUCAAAGUCUACCAGAUUCGUAUAAUCAACUCAUCAUCAACCUGACGAAUAAUAAUCCAGCGGACAGUUUGGUUUUCGACGAUGUUGCAGCCUCCGUAUUAAAUGAGGAGAGCAGGCGGAAAAAUAAGAAAAAUAGACAAGCAAGUUUGCAGCAAGCGGAGGCGUUAUCGGCGACGAGAGGGAGAUCAACGGAACGUGGCUGGCCCCAGUGGGAGUCACAAUCGUGGUAGAUCAAAAUCCAGAAGUAAGAAGAAUGUUAAAUGCUACAAUUGUGGUAAGAAAGGGCACGUCAAGAAAGAGUGUUAGAGUAACCAGAAGAGAAAAGAUGGCAAAAAACCUGAGUCAUCAAAUGCUCAGGGGUGUGUAGCAAGUACCUCGGAUGAUGACGAAAUUCUCUACAGCGAGGCAACAACUGUUUCAGAAGGUAGAAAAUGACUAUAUGAUGUCUGGCUUAUAGACUCAGGAGCUACCUGACACAUGACCUAUCGUAGAGAAUGGUUCCACACAUAUGAACAUAUCUCAGGAGAAUAUGCAUAUAUAGGUAAUGAUCAUGCCUUGGAGAUCGUUAGUAUUGGUACUAUCAAAAUAAAAAUAUUUGAUGGUACAAUUCGCACAAUUGAGGAGGUACAACAUAUCAGCGGCCUGAAGAAAAAUCUAUUGUCUUUGGGACAAAUGGAUAGUCAUAGGUACAAAACUCAUGUGGAGAAUGGAAUUAUGUAGAUCGUUAAAGGCGCGCUUGUAUUGAUGAAGGCAGAAAAGAUCAGUGCUAAUUUAUUCAUGCUUAAAGGAGAAACACUACAGGAGGCUGAUGUAUGUGUCGCGUCAAAUGGAGAAGAGUCAACGAUGAUGUGGCAUCUCAAACUUGGCCACAUGUCAGAACAAGGCUAGAAGAUUCUCUCUGAGUGAAAAUUGCUUCCAGGGUUCAAAUCGGUAAGUUUACCAUUUUGCGAGCAUUGUGUUAUAAGUAAGCAACAUAGAUUAAAGUUCAGUAGAUCUAUUACUAGAAGUAAAUGCAUUCUAGAAUUGAUUCAUUCUGAUGUUUAGGAAUCGCCGGAUAUGUCCAUGGGAGGUGCAAAGUACAUGGUGACUUUCAUUGAUGAUUAUUGCAGGAGAUGUUGGGUGUAUUCAAUUAAGAAAAAGUCAGAUGUAUUUCCAGUGUUUAAAGAAUACAAAGCGCGGGUGGAACUUGAAUUUGGUAAAAGGAUCGAGUGCUUGGGGACAAAUAAUGGUGGAGAGUAUACAGACGGCGAGUUUCUUGCUUUCUGUAAGCAAAAAGGUAUUUAGAGGUAGUUAAUGGUAGCAUACACUCCUCAACAAAACGGAGUGGCGAAGCGAAUGAACAUAACUCUUACAAAAAGAAUAAUAGCUAUGUUGAGGACUGCUGGUCUACCCAAUUCAUUCUGGGCAGAAGCAGCCAAAACUGCCUGUUAUAUCGUAAAUCGAUUGCCAUCUACAACAAUUGGGCUGAAGACAGCGAUGGAGAUAUGGACUGGAAAGCUAGCUGAUUACUCAUACCUACAUGCAUUUGGAUGUCCUGUGUACGUGAUGUACAAUGCCCAAGAAAGAAUAAAGCUUGAUCUAAAAUCUAGAAGAUGUAUCUUCUUGGGAUAUACUGAUGGAGUAAAGGGGUAUCGUCUGUAGGACCCCACUGCCCACAAGAUCGUCAUCAGCAGAGAUGUUAUUUUUUGUAGAAGAUCAACUACAAAGGAAAGAUAGAGAUGAUGACACUGUAAAAGAAAAGUCAGAGACUGUGCCAGUAUAUGUGGAAAAUAAUCCAGAAGAUUCAGAUUCUUCUGAAGCAACACCAGAGCAUGAAGAAUAAGAAUCAGUCGAGUUCGAGGCUCCAGAAGUUCGUCGGUUAACUCGUGAAAGACGACCGCCAACGUGACACUCGGAGUAUGUCACAGAGAUCAACGUUGCAUACUGUUUUCUAACAGAGGAUGGAGAGCCUUCAACUUUCCAUAAAUCUUUAAACAGCUCAGAUGUUACUUUAUGGAUGACAACAAUGCAGGAAGCAAUUGAGGCUCUACAUAAGAACAAGACAUUGGAGCUUGUACCACUACUACGUGGAAGAAAAGAUAUUGGAAACAAAUAGAUCUACAAGAUCAAAUGUGAUGGUAAUGACCAAGUGGAACGGUAUCAUGCAAGAUUGGUGGUGAAAUGAUAUGCUCAGAAAGAAGGUAUUGACUUCAACGGAAUAUUUUCUCUGGUGGUUUGACUCACAACAGUCAGAAUAGUCUUGGUAAUGUGUGCUACAUUUGACUUACAUCUUGAGCAGUUAGAUGUGAAAAUUGCAUUUCUUCAUGGAGAACUUGAAGAAGAAAUUUAUAUGCUCCAACCAGAAGGUUUUGCUGAAAAGGGAAAGGAGAACUUGGUUUGCAGGUUGAACAAAUCUUUAUACGGUCUCAAACAGGCACCGAUGUGUUGGUAUAAGAGAUUUGAUUCCUUCAUCAUAAGCCUCAGAUACAAUAGACUCAGCUCAGACCAAUGUGCAUAUUAUAAAAGGUUUGAAGAUAAUGAUUUCAUUAUUUUGAUAUUGUAUGUGGAUGACAUGUUGGUAGCAGGCCCCAACAAAGAUCGAGUCCAAGAAUUGAAGGUAUAAUUGAUUAGGGAGUUUGAAAUAAAGGACUUGGGACUAGAAAAUAAGAUUCUAGGGAUGCAAAUUCACCGAGACAGAAAUAACAGGAAGAUUUGGCUUUCUCAGAAGAACUACUUGAAGAAAAUUUUGCGACGCUUCAACAUGCAAGAUUGUAAGUCAAUUUCUACCCCACUUCCUGUUAAUUUCAAAUUAUCCUUAAGUAUGUGUCUGAGCAAUGAAGCAGAGAAGGAGGAGAUGUCUCGAGUACCGCAUGCAUCAGCAGUGGGAAGUUUGAUGUUCGCUAUGAUAUGUACUGGAUCGGACAUUGCACAAGCAGUGGGAGCAGUCAGUCGGUACAUGGCAAAUCCUAGUGGAGAGUAUUGGAUAACUGUGAAGAAGAUUCUGAGAUACAUCAGAGGAACCUCAGAUGUUGCAUUAUGUUAUGGAGGAUCAGAGUUUACUGUCAGGGGUUAUGUGGAUUCAGAUUUUGUAGGAGACUUUGAUAAAAGAAAAUCCACUAUUGGCUAUAUGUUUACACUUGCAGGAGAAGCUGUAAGCUGAGUUUUGAAACUGCAGACCGUUGUGGUUUUAUCUACAACAGAAGCAGAAUACAUGGCAGCUACACAAGCUUGGAAGGAAGCUAUCUGGAUACAAAGGUUAUUGGAGGAGUUCGGGCACAAACAAGAGAAAAUUUUUGUGUAUUGUGACAGUCAGAGUGCCUUGCAUAUUGUAAGAAAUCCAGCAUUUCAUUCAAGGACAAAGCAUGUAGGAGUUCAGUAUCACUUCGUUCAAGAAGUAGUGGAAGACGGAAGUGUGGAUUUACAGAAAAUCCAUACGAAGGAGAACCUAGCAGAUGUUUUGACCAAGCCGAUAAAUACUGAUAAGUUUGUCUGGAGUAGAUUCUCUUGUGGCCUAGCAGAAACGUAGGCAACAUGACAGUGGCGAAGCAGAAACGAUGGUGUGGAGAUUGAUUGAUCCUCAAUCAAAUCUCCAAGUGGGAGAAUGUCAAAAGAUUUGGCUGCAACAUCUAGAAGCUGCAUCUAGAAGUUUUGAAGAAGCAAAAUGGGUGGCACAUGACUUUGAAGUUCUAGAUGCUGUAAUGUUUAGUAAAAGAAAAAGAAAAAAAUUCAAAGCUAAAAAAUUCAAAGUUUGAAAAUCUAAAAUUUUUGACCUGUAUGGCUUGAAAUUUUAUAGCCACGUUUUUUACUUUUGAGGCAAAGUUUUGCCUAUAAAUACAAGCUCUCAAUUUAGAGCUUGCAUCCAAUUUUGUAAAGAAAGUCGAGAGCUGUUAGAAGCAAUUCUUGCAGAGCAGAGAGUUUGUAGAGCUUAAAUAAUAAAAGCUCUUGUUUUAGUGAUUUGAGAGUUUAGGUGUAUUAGGGUUUUGGGAAGUGAGCUAAAAUACUACAAUACUUGUAACUCUUUUUCACUAGUAAAAUAUUUUCCUUCUGUCUUCGCCCGUAGAAGUAGGCUAAAAGCCGAACCACGUAAUUUCCUGGUGUCCUCUUUGUGCUUGUUCUUUAUUUUUUUUCAAUUUUAUUUUAGCUGCGGCCCUGCUUCACCCACCAAUUUUCUAACAUCGUCUUCACUGUCACCCUGUGCCUAGGUAAUGCGUGCAAAUCAUGGGGUUGAAUACACUAUUGCUGAAUUCAAUCCAAUUCAGUGGACAUUUGACAAUUCUCCCCAGGUGAGAUUGGACUUCUAGUUUCUUGUAUUUGUUUUUCUUCAUCCGAUGUUUUCAGGGAUACCUAUUUGGCAGUAUAUAAAAAUCUGUGAUAUCGUCUAUACAUAUACAUAUACAUCAUUGGCUUCAGUCAUUUGUGAACAUAUUGGUGGUAGUAGAUGUAUUUUUAUGAUAUCUCUAAUAAAAUCCUAAGUUUGAUUAAUUACAAAAGAAGUAUGAGCGGUGCUGGACCGGGGGGGAGGGGGGAGGAGUGGGGUGUCGGUGUGUUGGGGGUGUGCAGUGCAUGAAUAAAAGGAAAUGAUAGGGGGUGAAAGUUUGUGCUACCGACAUGCUGUAAAAUGGGGACACAAUAUUUCAAAUUAGAGAUUGUGAGAUCCUUAAUAUUGCUGACUUGUGCUUAAAAUGGAAUUCUUGAUAACUUCAAAUGUUAAAGUUCUUGGUGAAAUUUUGUACUUUCUUUUCUUUCAGAUUCUUGUGCCUAUUGCAAAUGGUUCAGAGGAGAUGGAAGCUGUUAUGAUAAUUGAUAUUCUGCGACGAGCUAAAGCAAAUGUUGCAGUUGCAUCAGUUGAGGAUAAACUAGAAAUUCUGGCUUCGUCAAAUUAAAUUAGUGGUAGAUGUGCUCAUUGAUGAGGCGGCUAAACUUUCGUAUGAUUUAGUUGUCUUGCCAGUGAGUUGGGGUGCUUACUCUUGCUUCAUAGUCUUUACCACAUUAUUGACUUACUAACUACAAUUUAUCCAUGCACAUUGCACAGGGUGGACUUGGUGGCGCUCAAGCAUUUGCGAAGUCAGAUAAAUUGGUGAAUAUGCUAAAGAAGCAAAAGGAAUCAAAUAGACCUUACGAUGCUAUAUGUGCAUCCCCAGCUUUAGUGUUGGAGCCCCGUGGCUUACUCAAGGUACGACCAUUUCUGCUUAAAUUAUUUACUCAGAUUUGGAUCACCUAAUCUGAACUUGAUGAGAGAUUAUGAUGUUGUAUGAUUUUAUGAAUGUGGUCUUAUCUCAUGUAAGUCAGUGAUGAAUUAAUUGGAGUUUGUUGACAAAUUAGAAGCUGAAAAACUGCUGCUGCUUCGUUAGUUACAUUACCCAAAGAGUUAAAAUUAACAUCACAAAUUUGUUAUCCCAAAUGAUAUGGCAUUUAUUGAGUGAUUGGUAUUAAUUGUAUUAUCUAACCCACCAACAGAUGAAUGCCGCACCAUUUGAGACGAUCUUUUGGGAUAAAAAAUUUGGGAAGUGCAGCAAAUUUUUAUGCCGAUUUUUUUUGGCUUCAUUCAUGUAAACUCCUCCCCCCCCCCCCCCAAAAAAAAAGGAAAACCAGCAAACACCAAAAAAAAAAAAUUCUGAAGUACUUCCCUUAAUAUCAUUCCUGUGUAUUUCUUUUCCCCUCAAGACAUAUUUAACUUUGGUUCAGGGUAAAAAAGCUACAGCUUUUCCUGCCAUGUGCAACAAGCUGUCAGAUCAGAGUGAAAUCGAAAACAGAGUUGUGGUUGAUGGCAACCUCAUCACCAGUAGAGGGCCAGGAACUUCAAUGGAGUUUGCACUGGCAGUUGUGGAGAAGUUUUUUGGCCGCAACAAGGCACUUGAGCUUGCAAAGAUAAUGCUUUUCACUCGCGCCUAACGUUUGUACCGGGACCUGACUACUAUUAAACUAGUGUGUUUAUUUCUGUAUUACUACUGCUUGUAGAGAGGGGAAACGGAAACUUGAAUUCAUGUUUGAAUAUGGAUUCACUGUGUCGGUUUGUACAGCAGUUUGGUUUAUAAAUAAAUGAGUUCAUAGAGUCAUUUCAAAUAUUUGGAAUAAACCUGAGUUUAGUUCUGUUAUCAAUGGUCGGAGUCCAAUUGCGAUCGACUCACUGGGAAUUUUAAUUAUG
rnacentral:lncRNA from 1 species